rnacentral:lncRNA from 1 species
UGGGUACAAACAAAUUGAAUUUCAUUGAAAUUGGAACCUAAUAUAAAUACUUCAAGGAAUUAAAAUAAACAUUUAAUUUUAACCAAGGGAGAGGGCACGGAAACACUUUUCAAUUCGGCUUAAUUCCCUUGCGACAUGAAUCAUGUAUGGUCUAUCAUCUCCGUUUUCAGCUAUGCAUUUCCUAGCAAGAUCGGAGAAGUCUUUCAAUUGUUGUUGAAUCUCAAUUCCAUGCUCUUCUAAGAUAGUUGCAUCCACAAUAUCCAGUACAUUACCCUCUUUGAUAUAGUGAUCGACAGAGUAAUUGGUUGGAACAUUUUUAAAAUCUGUUGUCUCUUUUGAAUUUGCAGUAUCCACUCUAUCCAUAGAAUUACCCUCUUCAGUAUUUGAUUUAGCGUCUUCUCCAAAAUCUAUGGUCUCUUCUGAAUUUAUAGAAUCCACCACGAGAUCCAUAAUAUCGUACACUUUCUUUCCGAUUAAUAGCUCAAACAGAAGAACCCCAAAGCUGUAGACAUCAGUUUUUUGAGUACUAAUACCUGAGGCGAUAUUUUCUGGAGCUAUAUACCCAUAUGUUCCACACACAAUAUCUACUACCUCCAAUUCCCCUGGAGGUAAUGAUAUGGAGAGUGAGAAGUCCAAUAUUUUGGCAGCGCCGCUCUUCUCAUCUAUUAUCACAUUAGAUGGCUUUAUAUUUCUGUGGAUGAUGGGCGUAGAAAAUUCAGUAUGGAGGAAAACGAUUGCAGAAGCGACGUCACGUGCAACUCGUAAUCUAUUUCCCCAACAUAGCGAUUUUCUAUUAAGAUUAACCUUUUUGAAAAGUAGAUCGCUCAGAGUUAUAGCCCCAACAUAUUGAUACACCAUAACUGGUUGUUCAAAUUCUAGACAGCAACCAACAAGUCUCAACACAUUCUUCAGAUGACUCAUCUGAGCAGUAAUCGCUAUAUCUCGGUGGAUAUUUCUGGAUAAACAAAAUUUGUUGAAUCUAACUAAAACAGGGCGGUUGUCCAGCGAGCCCAUAACCAUAUCCACUUUGUCAAGCUUCAUUAUUGUGGUUUUAGAGUGUUUUAUUGCAUUGUUGAUCUCUAUGGCAGAGAAGUAACGGAUGGGAAUUCUGCAAUUUCCGUCGCAUAAAGCAAGAAGCUCCUCAAGCACGCGACUUCCAUUCUGUAAAUAACAAUCAUGCUCUUUCUUCCGUCUUUCUGCAGAGGCGGAGGAAAAAAGUUUUUUCCUUGUGAGUAGUCCUCUGAAAAAAGGCAUCUCUAAUUUUGGAAGUGACUAGUCUGGAUGAAUUGCGAUUAAAUCCAAUAAGGCAUAUCACUACUCACAAGUGGGAAGCUGCUUCCUGCUGGUCUUAAUUUGUGCAUUCAAUUCCAUACAAAAUGACAACAAAUUGAGUUUCCAAGCACUUUCAUUGAAAAUUAACAAUGGGGAGGCAUAUCAGUGUGGGUCACAAGGAUGGAAUAUUGCAUGCAAUUGGAAAAACGUCUGUCAUAUAGUGCCUUACAACUUACAAGGCAUGGGGUCCGGCCCGUCUUAUAAGUGUGGUCACUCUCACGUCUUACAUCGUAAGUUAGCGACCAUUAACCUUUUUUGGCAUAAUAUUUGAAGACAAACUACUUGAUUAGACAUACAUUACUAACAUGUAUACUAAUUUUACGAGUCCGGAGCCAAAAAGGUAAGAAAGUUUUUCAAAAAUUUCAAAAGGGCAACAAAAUUAAUUAUAAAACCAAAAGGGCAACUUUCUGACGGAGAAUCAAACAACGUCUAAAAUAGGGUAGCCGGCGCAAUGCACGGAUUUCCAUGCACCUUGCAAGGCGCAGCUGUCAUGAGCCCUGUAAGGCUCUGCCGUCAUGCGCCUUGCAAGGCCCAUGGAAAUCAGCGCCUUGCGGCUGUUUUAUUUUUUUAAAUUUUUUUGUUCAUUAUUAAAAAACGAGUUAAAUUUUCAAUGGUUUGAAAAUUAUAAAGUAUAGAACAAUUGACUUCAUAUUUGGUGUUAGUCAGUGGGAUAUUAGGAAAAAAGUGACAUUUUAUUGAAGACACUACAAUUAGUUAGCUAGUUAGUAAUUAGCUAAAUUAGUUAGUUAGUUGUAGAUUAGCUGACGUGGCAGAGUAGUUAGUUAAUAGUACAAGUUAGUUAUAACUAACUUGAUCAGUGGUGUGAAGUAAAGCACAUGUAUAUAUAUUCUGUAGAAUACUCUGUAACCAACUCAUUCAAUACAAUACACAAUUUUAUUCUUUACUGUUGAUCUUCUUCCUCUUAGACUCACAGAACCUCCAUUGGAGGACUUAACAUGGUAUCAGAGCUAGAGAUCGGAUCAACAACAAUGGCUACUGAAAAUGAGCUCGUUAUUCCUUACACACACCCUCUCUACUUGCAUCCAUCGGAUACUCCAGGAUCUGUGCUCUGUCCUGUUAAGUUGACAGGAUCGGAGAACUAUGGGUUAUGGCGGAGGUCCAUGCGAAUUGCUUUGCAAGCUAAGAGGAAGCUGGGUUUUGUGAUUGGAACCUGUAAGAAGGCAAGUUUUGAAACUAAGUAUCAUGAUCAAUGGGAUACCUGUAAUGCAAUUGUUCUUUCAUGGCUUAUGAACACAGUAGCUCAUAAUAUCUUAAGUGGCAUUGUCUGAGUGCCCAAAGUCGAAGGAUUAUGUUGAGCAUUUGCGACAACAACGACUGAUUCAAUUUCUUGGAGGUCUAAAUGAGUCACAUUCUCAGUCGAGGAGGCAGAUCCUUAUGAAGACUUCUGAGCCAACUCUCAAUCAGGCGUAUGCAAUGAUAGUGGAGGAGGAGAGUCAAAGUUCUGAUGUGGAUCGUAAUACCUUAGGAUUGAAGGCUGUAUCUGAAGGAAAUGAUAUCACAGCACUAUUGACUGCUGCGAAAACUUUUCAAAAACCUCGAUACAAGAAUCCUAAUGCCUUUUGUGAUCACUGCAAGACGAAAGGUCACCUGAAGAGUGAUUGUUUUCAGCUAGUAGGAUAUCCUUCUUGGUUUAAAGGAAAGAAGAAAGAGGGAUACAAUGUGCAAUAUAAUGGAUCUGCUUCACCUCAUACUCCACCUGUGUUUAAAUCCUGAGUAUGGUGGUCAUAAUGCAGGGCAUAUGCCUGCACCUCUUUAUGGCAAUUUAUCCUUUACUCACAAUCAUAAUGCUGCAGGUGAUAUUGGCAGAUCUGUUGGGGGCAAUAGUCACAUAGAAACUCACACUUAUGGCACUGCUGGUUUUCCUACAACUCCAGGAUCUGGUGUUUUUACUCGAGCAUCUGCAGAUAUGUGCAUUCCUGGAUAUGGAAAUACAGGCUCUCAUGGUCAUGGAGUUAGUGGCAUAAAUAUGGCUUUCACAGGAGCUCACUCAUCUGAUACUGCAGGUAUUGUCAAUUGCUCUGUAGUACAUAAUUCACCUGGUUCUAGGUGGAUAGUAGACACAGGGGCCACUAAUCACAUGACAUCUACUCCCACUUUGCUUUGUGAAACUCAAUGUUUACCUCCAAAUUAGCUCAACAAAGUUCACCUGCCUAAUGGUCAACAAGUACCAAUUGCUCUUACUGAGAAAUCUAGACUCAUGCAGAGAGACAUAUCUCAUGUUUUGUAUAUUCCUGAUUUUAACUACAACUUGUUAUUAGUUUCUAAACUGACUAGAGAACUACAAUGUUGUAUGGUGUUUUUAUCCUGAUCAUUGCCUACUGCAGGACCUUCACACUGGGGAGGUGAAGGGGACUGGUAGUCUGGAGAAUGGUUUAUACUAUUGGCCACACAAUGAUUCUUCCAUUAUUGCUCUUUCAACUGCUUUAAGCGUGGUGGAUACUGUUGAUCUGUGGCAUAGAAGACUAGGUCAUAUUCCUCACAAGGUUCUUCAGCAAAUGCAUAUACCACAUGUAUCACUUCCUUCCAAAUUACCUUCUUGUCCUGUUUGUCCAUUGGCAAAACAAACUAGGUUGCCUUUUCCUCAAAGUACCAGUAGAUCUAAUAAAGUGUUUGAGCUGAUUCAUGGUGAUGUUUGGGGUCCAUACAGAACCCCCACUUAUGAUGGCAAUAGAUAUUUUCUUACUUUAGUAGAUGAUUGUAGUAGGAUGGUGUGGAUAUUUCUUCUCAAACAGAAAAGUGAUGUGUUCUUUGUACUGAAGGAUUUUCUGACUCUAAUAAACAGGUAGUUUGAUGGCUUUAUCAGAGUUUUCAGAAGUGAUAAUGGUUCUGAAUUCUUUAACUUUCAUUGUCAUGAAUUGUUCAGAUCUGCAGACAUUAUUCAUCAAAGCUCUUGUGCCUAUACCCCUCAACAGAAUGGGGUUGUAGAGAGGAGACAUAGGCAGAUUCUAGAGGUUUCUCGAGCCAUUAGGUUCCAAGCAAAUUUACCUAUCAGAUUCUGGGGUCUAUGUGUACAGAAUGCUUUUUACUUAAUCAAUAGAAUGCCAUCUACUGCUCUUGCAGGGAAAUCUCCAUUUGCUGCAUUUUUUGGCAGGGAACCUUGUUUGAAACAUCUCAGGGUUGUUGGCUGCUUAUGCUAUGCUGUUAAUCAUAGUACCAACGGUGACAAGUUUGAUCAUAGGUCUAUUAAAUCAGUGUUUGUGGGAUAUUCUACUACACAAAAGGGGUAUAGACUAUAUAAUUUGUCCACCAAGUCCUUUUUUGUUAGCCGGGAUGUCAUUUUUAGAGAGGAUGAAUAUCCUUUCAAGUCUACUCUGACUGCGAUUCCUGAAUCCUAUCUAAAUAAUCCUCCUGACAUGUUUGUUUAUGAUGAUCAGAAUACUUCUAUUUUAUUACCAGAUAUUCCUGCUGCACCACUUGACUUGCCUCAUAUACCCACUGUUCAGCCUUAUGUACCCUCUGUUCAACCUCCACUUUCCUUACCUUCUGAGGAUCUUAUUCCUCCUACCAAUGAGCCAAGUCUUAGAAAGUCGGGUCGAUCCUCUAAACAACCUGGUUGGCUCCAUGGUUUUGUUCAUACUGUUGCUAGUUUUCCUUCACAUCCUGUCCCUUGUUUUACUGCUCAUCCUCAGUCCACUUAUAUGUCUUAUGCAUCCAUAUCCCCUGCUUAUUUUCAGUCCUUGUGCAAUUUCUCUGCUAUACGGGAACCUACUUCUUAUGAAGAGGCCAUGCACAACCUAUAGUGGAUUCAAGCCAUGGAUCAAGAACUGCAGGCCCUCCAUGAUAAUCACACUUGGGAUUUGGUUACUCUGCCUCCUGGCAAGAAGGCUAUAGGGUGUAAGUGGGUCUAUAAAGUCAAGUUUAAUGCUCAAGGAGAGGUUGAGAGGUAUAAAGCUCGACUGGUAGCUAAGGGUUACACUCAGCAAGAGGGCUUGGAUUACCAGGAAACAUUUUCUCCGGUUGUCAAGAUGGUUACUGUGAGGGUGGUUCUUUCUUUGGCUGAUAUGCAUGGGUGGAAUUUACAUCAGAUGGAUGUGUUUAAUGCAUUUCUGCAAGGUGAUUUAGUGGAGGAUGUGUAUAUGGUUCCUCCACCUGGUCUACUAAGCAAGGGGGAGUCUCCAGAUGGAUGUGUUUAAUGCAUUUCUGCAAGGUGAUUUAGUGGAGGAUGUGUAUAUGGUUCCUCCACCUGGUCUACUUAGCAAGGGGGAGUCUCCUUCAGUUUGUAAGCUCAGGAAGUCCCUUUAUGGCUUAAAACAAGCAUCUCGUCAAUGGAACUUGAAGCUAUGUGAAGCUCUUCUGAGUUCAGGUUUUCUACAAAGUCAUCAUGACUACUCCUUGUUCAGCAAAUGUUCUGGUUCUGAUUUAGUUCUCAUCCUCGUUUAUGUGGAUGAUCUUUUGAUCACUGGUUCCUGUUCUCAGUUAAUUCUUGAUACCAAGCUGAUGCUUCAGACUCAUUUCAAGAUCAAGGACUUGGGGAGAUGAGAUACUUCCUUGGUCUUGAAAUUGCCAGGAACAAAGAGGGUAUCAUGGUAAGUCAAAGAAAGUUUGCCUUAGAUCUUAUCUCAGAUUUUGGUCUUGCAGGAACCAAACCAGUUAGUACUCCUUUGGAGGUUAAUCAAAGGUUCACUAGUCAGGAGUUUGACAUGCAUUUGGAACCUCAGGAAGCACAUGAAGAUAUGAUACUCAGUGAUCCCUCAAGCUAUCAGAAACUGGUUGGUAAGUUACUUUACCUCACCAUGACAAGGCCGGAUACUAGCUAUGCAGUACCGAAUCUUUGCCAAUUUAUGCACAAACCAAAGAAAUCUCACAUGGAGGGUGCAUUGAGGGUGGUCAAAUAUUUGAAGAAUGCACCAGGUUUAGGAAUUAUGUUGUCAUCCAAAGCCUCCAAGCAACUCUCAGUUUAUUGUGAUGCUGACUGGGCCACUUGUCCUAUGACAAGGAAGUCUGUGAGUGGUUUUGUAGUAAAGAUUGGAGACUCUUUGAUUUCAUGGAAGUCGAAGAAACAAAACACAGUGUCAAGGAGUUCGGCUGAAGCAGAAUAUAGGAGCAUGGCUAAUGCAAUGGCAGAAAUUGUAUGGUUAAUAGGUUUGUACAAAGAGUUGAAAGUGGAAUUGGAAUUGCCAGUAAGACUAUUUUGUGAUAGUAAAGCAGCACUUCAAAUUGCUGCUAAUCCUAUAUACCAUGAAAGGACGAAACAUAUAAAGAUUGAUUGUCAUUUCAUUCGAGAAAAGAUACAAGAGGGCCUUAUUCAAACAGACCACGUACCUUCAAAAAUGCAACUGGCAGAUGUACUGACAAAGAGUUUGGGAAGAACUCAACACGAUUUUUUACUGUCCAAGCUUGGUGUAUAUAAUCUGUUUGCACCGUACAGCUUGAGGGGGAGUAUUGAAGACACUACAAUUAGUUAGCUAGUUAGUAAUUAGCUAAAUUAGUUAGUUAGUUGUAGAUUAGCUGACGUGGCAGAGUAGUUAGUUAAUAGUACAAGUUAGUUAUAACUAACUUGAUCAGUGGUGUGAAGUAAAGCACAUGUAUAUAUAUUCUGUAGAAUACUCUGUAACCAACUCAUUCAAUACAAUACACAAUUUUAUUCUUUACUAUUGAUCCUCUUCCUCUUAGACUCACAGAACCUCCAUUGGAGGACUUAACACAUUUUAUCCCCUCAUUUUUUAAUUUGAUUAAUUAAAUUCAAUUCUAACCGUGUAAUAAAAACGUAAAAAGAGUAGAUCAAAGUGUGAAAACUUUUAUGCCAUGGAAUAUAGCAUCAAAAUGGCAAUUUCAUUGUCUGCAGAUCUUAUUUUUGUUUAUUAACAUAAAUAUGAGGGUUCAAACAAACUGAAUUUCCUUUAAAUUGGAACCUAAUAUGAAUAAUUUAAAGAAUUAAAAAUAAACAUUUAAUUUUGAGUAAGAGCCAGGUCACGGAAACAUUUUUCCAUUCGACAUAAUUCCCUUGCGACAUGAAUAAUGUAUGGCCUAUCAUCUCCUUUCAAAGUUGUGCAUUUCUUAACGAGAUCCAAGUAGUCCUCCAAUUGUUGUUGAAUCUCAAUUCCAUGUUCUUCUAAGAUAGUAGGAUCUGCAAUAUCCAUUACAUUACUCUCUUUAAUAUAACGAUCGACAAAAUUGGUUGGAAAUUUUUUUAGAUCUAUGGUCUCUUCCAGAAUUACAGAAUCCAUAAAGUUAUCUUCUUCAACAGCGUCUUCUUCAUCAAUAUCUGUUGUCUCUUUUGAAUUCACUCUAUCUAUAAUAUCAUACGCUGUCUUUCCUGUUAAUAGUAGAAAGAGAAGAAUCCCAAAGCUGUAGACAUCAGUUUUUUGAGUAAUAAUACUCUGGUAGUAAUAUUCUGGAUCUACAUACCCUAAUGUUCCACACACACCAUCACGUUGUAGCUCCAAUUCCCCUGGAGGUAAUGAUAUGGAGAGUGAGAAGUCCACUAUUUUGGCAACACCACUCUUGUCAUCUAUUAUCACUUUGUAAGGCUUUAUAUCUCUGUGGAUGAUGGGCGUAGUAAAUUCAGUAUGGAGGAAAAGGAUUGCAGAAGCAACCUCACGUGCAACUCGUAAUCUAUUUCCCCAAGAUAGCGAUUUUCUAUUAAGAUUAUCCUUUUUGAAAAGUAGAUCGAAAAGGGAUAUACCUUCAACAUACUCAUACACCAUAACUGGUUGUUCAAAUUCUAGACAGCAACCGACAAGUCUCAACACAUUCUUCAGAUGACUCAUCUGAGCAGUAAUCGCAAUAUCUCGGUGGAUAUUGUUAAAUUCACAUGUAUUGAACCUAACUAAAACGGGGCGGUUGUCUAGUAAUCCCGUAACCAUAGACACAUCAGAAAGGUCCAUUUUGCUUUUAGAGUGUCUGAUUGCAUUGUGGAUCUCUAUGGCAGAGAAGUAACGGAUGGGAAUUCUGCAAUUUCCAUCGCAUAAAGCAAGAAGCUCCUCAAGCACCGCACUUCCAUUCUGUAAAUAACAAUCAUGCUCUUUCUUCCGCUUUUCAGCAGAGACACAGGAAAAAAGUGUUUUCCUUGUGAGUAGUAGUUCCCUGAAGAAAGACAUUAUUUGCUUCAGAAUUGAGAUUAGAUCCAAAAAGGCAUCACCAGUGGGAAUGAAUGAGUAAGGAAGUAGUGAGGUACCGCUGCUCUUUCUUACUUUGACGCCUGCGUUAAAUUCCACACAAAAUGACAAAAGAUGGAGUUUCCAAGCACUUUCAUUUCAUUGCCAUUGUUUAUCAAGAUCCAUUACGGCACGCUAAUUAAUUCAUACUUAUGUUGGUUUAUGUUGACCUUUUUUAUUAACCCUCAGUGAAUUAGUGAAGUAAUGCAUAUUCAUUAAGAAAAAAUAUUCAAUGCAUAAUUUAAACUAUAUUUUUCACUAUUUUCCUUGAGAAAUUAUAAAUAUAACUUUGUAGUAAGUAGAACUUCUUUUAUCCCUAAUUACUUGUCCACUUUUGAAAUUGACACACCUAUUAAGAAAACAAAUAAUUGACAUAGUGAGUUUACCGUUUUACCCUUAUUAAUUAUGAAGUGGAUGAAUAAAAACUUAAAAUCUUCAAGAAGUUCUACAUUUUCCAAAAUCAAUUAAUUGAGGGUAUAAUUGGUAAAUAUUUUUUUUAUCCUUUCUUGAUAUGUCAAAAUGGACAAGUAAAAAUGAAAAUUGGACAAGUAAUUAGAGACACAGGGAGUAAAUUUUAUUUCCUACGAAAUAUCAAACUUCAUUAAAAAGAAAAGAGCAAAUAUGAAAAAAAUAAUUCAACAUCCAUCUUAAACUUAUGAAAAUCUUAGUAACUCCGUUGUUGGUUACGUAUACUCCCACCUUGUUUGUGAGGAUUCGAUUCCCCACGCUAUUAUCCCCUUCCCAUUUCCCCUUCCGAUCCCCUAACCCCAAUUUUUUAGAAGAUAAAUAAAACUUUGAACAAUUUCAUUAUUUUGAGUAAUGAAAAAAACUCCAAAAAUUCACCUAAAAUGAAAUAUGGAUAAAUUCUUUUGGCCCAAAUGGCUUUUGACACAAUAAACUGAUUUUCAUUUUGACAUUUUUAUCCUUCCCUUCCAAAUUUAAUAUUUUUAAAUUAAUUAAUUUUGGAAAAUAGUGAUAUUAAUCUCUGUAUUAUUGCAUACUUCCAGUUUUAAUUCGUUUGUUAUUUGACGGUGUACAUUUGACCUUUAAUUAUUUAUAGUGUGGGGUUUUAGUCCUUGAAGUUAACAAAAGUUUAUUAUUUAACAAAAUGAUUAUUUUAAAAUAUAUAAAAUAAAAUAAAUUAAAGGGUUGGUGAUUCUAAAAGCUUGAAGAAUUAUGUGUAUGAGAAAAAAUUAAAUGUAGUAAAAACAAAAUGUUAAAUUUUUUAGGACAUCAUUGAAUAUUAAUAGCCUUAAGGAGCAUGUCCACCUACUAAACCCUUUCAAAUAUAAUCAUAUUUAACCUUGAUCAGUAACCAUUGAAAAAGACAAGAAGAAUAAGUUGCUAAUAAAUAAAAAAAAACAGAGCAAAUAGAGAAACAAAUGAGUUAAAUUUAUAUACAUAAUUGUUCAAGCAUUUAACAUCACUAACCUGUUAUUUUAUUUUUAUAUAUUUUCAAAUAAACAUUUUGUUAAAUAGUUAACUUUUGUUAACUUUAAGGACCAAAUUCACACACUUCAAAUAAUUGAAUGUUAAAUGUGCAUAGUCAAAUAACACAAGGAUUAAAACUGAAAUCAUGCGAUAAUAUACGUACAAUAACAUCUAUUAUAAUGACGUGAAUCUGGCCUAGCUCAUGUUAAUUUGAGAAUUCUAUGAUUUCUUAGCAGAGAAGAUAUUUAACAUAUUCAAAUGGCAAAUGACAAAUACAAAACUACCGACAAUUACAAGCAGUGUCAUUGUCUUAAUUUAAUUUCUCAAUGACAAAUGCAAAACUAACCUGAUCCCAUUUAAUCUUUUUGUGGAUUUGGAUUUUGGUGGUGGUAUUAAAUCAUUUGAUUUCAAUCCACCGGAUUCAUAUUUAUAAAAGGAAAACUAAUUUUACACGAGGUUUGGUCUACAUUAUCCAGAUCCUAAUUGCUCAAGACGAUCGAUUUGGCAGCAAACGUACUCAUGAACAAUAAUUUGUACUACAAAGUGUAGCCCAUAAGAAAGUAUUUCAAGAGAGUGAAGUAGUUGAACUUCACCUCAUGGAGCUUAAAGACUUGUGAGAUUCCUUGUUUAUGCGAGGUAGCAGAGCUUUGCAGAGGAAUUGGAUUAACUGAAGAUGACGCUGUUGCCGAUGCCUAUACGCCUCUUCAUCUCCCUCCGUGAUUUUUUAGGAAAGUACUGCUGCUAACUAAGAUAUUGUUUUGUCUCUUUAGAUUUUGACUUUUCUUUUUGCUCUGUUUAAGUCUCAAACUUUAGGCUUAAAAAAAAAUAAAAAUUCAUUAUCUGCGGAUAUCAUUUUUUGUUCAACAUAAAUACUAUGAUUGUACAAAUAAACUGAAUUACCUUUAAGUUGGAACCUAAUAUGAAUACGUUGAGGAAUUAAAAUAAACAUUUAAUUUUGACCAAGUGUACUGAGGGCACAGAAACACUUGUCAAUUCGACCUAAUUCCCUUGCAACAUGAAUAAUGUAUGGUCUAUCAUCUCCCUUAUCAGCUGUGCAUUUCUUAAUAAGAUUCAAGCAGUCUUUCAAUUGUUGUUGAAUCUCAAUUCCAUGCUCUUCUAAGAUAGCUGGAUCCGUAAUAUCCAUUACAUUACUCUCAUUAAUAUAACGAUCCACAAAGUUGAUUGGAAGAGUUUUAGAAUCUAUUGUCGAAUCCACUCUAUCCAUAGGAUUAUCCUCUUCAGUAUUGGAUUUAGCGUCUAAUUCAAAAUCUAUUCUCUCUUUUGAAUCCACUCUUUUCAUAAUAUCGUACACUUUCUUUCCGGUAAAUAGCUGAAAGAGAAGAAUCCCAAAGCUGUAGACAUCAGUUUUUUGAGUAAUAAUCAACUGGUGCUUAUAUUCUGGAGCUAUAUACCCAACUGUUCCACGCACACCAUUAUGAUCUAGUAACUCCAAUUCCCCUGGAGGCAAUGAUAUGGAGAGUGCGAAGUUCAAUAUUUUGGCAGUGCCGCUGUUCUGAUCUAUUAUCACAUUGUGAGGCUUUAUAUUUCUGUGGAUGAUGGGCGUAGUAAAUUCAGUAUGCAGGAAAACUAUUGCAGAAGCAACCUCACGUGCAACUCGUAAUCUAUUUCCCCAACAUAAUAGAGAUUUUCUAUUAAGAUUAUCCUUUUUGAAAAGUAGAUCGAAAAGAGAUAUAGCUUCAACAUGUUCAUACACCAUCACUGGCUGUUCAAAUUCUAGACAGCAACCGACAAGUCUCAACACAUUCUUCAGAUGACUCAUCUGAGCAGUAAUUGCUACAUCUCUGUGGAUAUUGAAUGUUGUACAUGUAUUGAACCUAACUAAAACAAGGCGGUUGUCAAGUGAUCCCGUAACCAUCGACACCAUGGCAAGGUCCAUUUUGGUUUUAGAAUGUUUAAUUGCAUUGUGGAUCUCAGUGGCAGUGAAGUAACGGAUGGGAAUUCUGCAAUUUCCGUCGCAUAAAGCAAGAAGCUCCUCAAGUACGCAACUUCCAUUCUUCAAAUAACAAUCUUUCUCUUUCUUCCGCCUUGCUGCAGAGGCAGAGGAAAAAAGUAUUUUCCUUUUGAGUCCCAUGAAGAAAGGCAUUUUUCUUUGCUCUAAUUUUGAAGUGACUAAUCGUUUGGAUGAUGAAUUGGGAUUGAAAUAAAGCAUAUCAGUAGUACUGUAAGUAAUGUAUGAACAAGUUAGAAGAAGUUUCCUGCUGGUCUUAAUUUGUGGAUUCAAUUCCACACAAAAUUGAAUUUGCAAGCACUUUGAUUGAAAAUUCCAUGAAUGGGUGAUAACGAUGGGGGAGGCAUAAGUCAUAACAGUGGGGGUCACAAGAUGGAAUUCAUGCAAUUGGAAACGCGUCUGCCAUAUAAUGCCUUACUUUGUAAGUUAAGGCUCCAUUAAUUUUUAGAUAAGAUGUCACUGACAAUAUAUUUUUGAUACUUUAAACAAACUUAUAAUUAUUACUUUUUUUUUUUUGUGUAUACAUAACUUGAAAUUUUCUAUUUCAAUUAUACUUUUAGAAUAAAUUAUUUCAAUUUAAUUUUAAUUUUUAUGAUCGCGCGAUUGAAUUCACUAGUUAGAUCGCAAAAAGAAGAAAAGUUGCAACACUUUUGGUGAUAUCAUGAAUUUUAGUGGAUAAAAGUUGAAAGCUUUUUAGCUAAUCAUAUUUUACCCAUGAAUAUUCAUAUUUCUAUGGGUCGAAUAUGAGUUUAAAUCCAUAUUUUACCCAUCUGAAAAAUCACUCACCCAACCCAUGAAGAUAUGGGCGGGUUGGACAGGUCACCAAAAUAUGGGCUCAUUUUACCGACACUAGUUGUCACCAAUUUAGAUUUCACACUCAUUAAAAAAUUAAGUAAGUUUACUAUUGUACCCCUAUCUAAUAUUGUCUUAAAGUCAAACUUUCAACAAAUGAUAAAUAUGUUUAUUGAAAAUUAAAUCAACAUUAAUUGAUUUAAAAAAUAAAUCAACAUUAAUUUAUAUUAAAUGUUGCAAAGUGAAAUUAAAAAACAAUCUUUUCAUAUUCCAUUAUAUUCCAUGAAGACUAAAUUAUUAAUGAAAUAUAUUAUAAUUGAAAUGCAUGUAACUACUCUCUUAAAUUUUUAAGCCUGAAAUGGAGUCAAAAUUUCCUUUUUGAAGAUCAGAUUUUCUAUUGAGGGAUUAUAGGGGUUUUGAGUUUUUAUAUUGAUUACGUGGCAGCCUCAUUAAUAAGGAAUUUACUUUAUAUUUUUUUCACAACAUAUAUGUUAAAUUUCACUCUUUACUUUUCACUGUGUUAAACACAAGUCUUUCCUAAUAAACUAAGGACCCGGCUCCCCUUCCGUGUAUAUCACCUCCGGUUCCCAGGAGCUACACACUAGAGGGGAGCCGGGUAGAUAAAGUAACACUGCUUCAAAAUGGGAUCGGCUCCCCUCCAGUGUGAAUCAACUCCAAUUUCUCCGGUUCCCUAGACCAAGAGCAAGGGCUCCGAAACACUUUUCAAUUUGGUAUAAUUCUCUUGCGACAUGAAUCAUGUAUGGUCUAUCAUCUCCCUGGUCAGCUGUGCAUUUCUUAACAAGAUCCAAGUAAUCUUCCAGUUGUUGUUGAAUCUCAAUUCCAUGCUCCUCUAAGAUAGUAGGAUCCGCUAUAUCCAUUACAUUACCUUCUUUAAUAUUACUAUCAACAAAGUAACUGGUUGGAAGAUUUUUAAAAUCUGUUGUUUCUUUUGAAUUUUUAGAAUUCACUCUACCCAUAGUAUCGUACACUGUUUUUCCUGUUAAUAGUUGAAAGAGAAGAACCCCAAAGCUGUAGACAUCAGUUUUUUGAGUAAUAAUAAACUGGUGGAUAUAUUCUGGAGCUGUAUACCCGAGUGUUCCGAGCGCACCAUCAUCUAGUAACUCCAAUUUCCCUGGAGGCAAUGAUAUGGAGAGUGUGAAGUUCAAUAUUUUAGCAAUGCCACUCUUCUGAUCAACUAUCACAUUGUGUUGCUUUAUAUUUCUGUGGAUGAUGGGCGUAGUAAAUUCAGUAUGUAGGAAAACUAUUGCAGAAGCAACCUCACAUGCAACUCGUAAUCGAUUUCCCCAACAUAGUGAUUUACUAUUUUGAUCAUCACCAUUAUCCUUUUUGUAAAGUAAAUCGAAAAGAGAUAUAGCUUCAACAUAUUCAGACACCAUAACUGGUUCUUCAAAUUCUAGACAGCAACCGACAAGUCUCAACACAUUCUUCAGAUGACUCAUCUGAGCAGUAAUCGCUAUAUCUCGGUGGAUAUUGCUGAAUGAACAUGUAUUGAACCUAACUAAAACGGGGCGGUUGUCUAGCGAUCCUGUAACCGUAGACUCAUUGGCAAGCUCCAUUAUUGUGGUUUAAGAGUGUCUAAUUGCAUUCUGUAUCGCUAUGGCAGUGAAGUAACGGAUGGGAAUUCUGCAAUUUCCGUCGCAUAAAGCAAGAAGCUCCUCAAGUACGGCACUUCCAUUCUUUAAAUAACAAUCAUGCUCUUUCUUCCGCCUUUCAGCAGAGGCAGAGGAAAAAAGUUUUUUACUUGCGAGUAGUAGUCCCUUGAAGAAAGACAUUAUUUACUUGCUCUAAUUUAGAAGUGACUAGUAUCCAUGAAUUGGGAUUAACUCCAAUAAGGCAUAUCAGUAGUAGUUAACAAGUCGGAAGAAGAUUCCUGCUGGUCUUAAUUUGUGCAUUCAAUUCCAUACAAAUUGAGUUUCCAAGUACUUCCAUUGCAAUUGUUUAUCAAGUUCCAUUAUGCCCUAAUGUCGUUGUCCUAUCAAUUAAUAUUUGGUUUUUGGAUUUAGCUAAUGAAACACAAAAGUUUAUGCCUCCAGUUUUUUGUAGCAAAUAUUAGGGGCAGUAAAGUUAUCUUUGUUUUGUGGUUAAUUUACAGGAUAUUUUACAAAAAACGAAGUUUAGCUUGUGAUUUACACUCAAAGGGGAGCAGCUGUGGGCCGGGUUAAAAAAAAUAUUCAAAACUUGGAGACAGUUCUAAUGUUUCCACAUUUAAGCCAAGUAUAUAUUUCCUCAUACGUAAACUAACGAGCUUAAAAAGAAGUAUGCAUUUUCAAAUCAUCAUGGCUUUGGCCUUUGGUUAGACCUAAAGUGCCUGUUUUAGUCCAUAAAGUGACUUAACUAAUCUACAGACCAGACCUUCUUCCUCCUUAUUUUGUUGAAAUCCCUGAGGUAGUUGCAUGUACACCUCUUCCAUCAGAUCUCCUUGCAAAAAAGCAUUGUAAACAUCCAUUUGCUGAAUGUUCCAACCCUUUGAUGCAGCAAUAGAUAGGACUGUCCUCACUGUGACCAUUUUAACAACAGGAGAAAAAGUCUCCUGAUAAUCCAGUCCCUCUUUCUGGUUGUAACCCUUGGCCACCAGCCUGGCCUUAAACCUUUCAAUCUGUCCAUCAGCUUUGUACUUGAUUUUAUACACCCAUUUACAUCCAAUGGCCCUUUUUCCAAGAGGCAAUGCAACUAGUUUCCAAGUCUUGUUCUCUUCCAAGGCCUUGAUCUCCUCCUUCAUGGCUUGAACCCAUCUAUCAUCAUUCUUAGCCUGGUGAUAUGUACUUGGUUCAGUUUCCAUUGAAGAAUUGGCAAUGCAACAUUGAUAGGACUUUGAAAGACAAUUGUAAUCAACACUGUCUACAAUAGAGUAAAGACAAUUAGACUGAUUGGAUUUCUUUGAGGUCACAAAAUCCUUUUGCCAAAUUGGAGCCUUGCUGGUUCUGGUUGAUCUUCUUUGUACCUGCUGUGGUGUGUCUCCAAGAACAGGUACAUGUGUUGUGUCUCCAGGAUGAACCACCUGAUGUGAUGUGUCAAUCUCUAGUGCAUUUGGUGUAACUGCAACAACUUCACUCCUAUUCUCUACAAUUGGAGAAUCAAGCACCAUAUCUGUUUCAUCAUCCAUAAAACUUGAUGGCAUGAUAACACUAUUCUGCAAAGCAUCUGUGGGGUGAGCUUGAAAAGGAAAAAUUGUUUCAACAAAGGUCACGUCCCUACUGAUAAAAAAUGUUUUAUGUUCAAGAUCAUAUAACCUAUAUCCUUUUUGUGUUAUACCAUAUCCCAUCAAAACAGAUCUUGUAGACCUUGGACCAAAUUUGUCUACCUUAUGUGGAAUAGUGGCAUGGCAUAAACACCCUAUGAUCCUCAUAUAAGAUAAAUCAGGUUGUUUCCCAAACAUUACUUCAAAAGAAGAGACAUUAUGUAAUACAGAUAGAGGAAUUCUAUUUAUGAUGUGUACAGCUGCUAAUAUGCACUCUCCCCAGAAUUUGAUAGGUAAGUGUCCCUGGAACCUGAUUGCUCUAGCUGUUUCAAGGAUGUGUCGGUGCUUCCUUUCUACCACACCAUUCUGCUGAGGAGUGUGUGGACAUGAACUUUGAUGUAUAAUCCCAUGACUCUUGAAUAAUUCAGCACAUUGAGAGUUAAAGAACUCUCCUCCAUUGUCUGAUCUAACCAUUUUAAUUUGCAAAUUAAAUUGUAUUCUAAUCAUCAGGACAAACUAUUUUAGCACUGUGGAAACAUCUGAUUUAAGAUGUAGUAAAAAUACCCAAGUCCAUCUCGAAUGAUCAUCAACCAAUGUAAGAAAAAACUUCAUGUUAUUAUAUGUGGUUGCUUUAUAAGGUCCCCAUACAUCCAAAUGAACCAAAUCAAAACAUCUAGUGCUUCUACUACUGCAUGAUCUAAAAGGCAAUCUGAUUUGUCGAGCUAGUGGACAUACAUCACAAUGAGUCAUAGUUGGACUCUUAUUGAACUUAAGCAUACUAAUUUUUCUAAUCACAUUCAUAGGCACAUGCCCUAAUCUCUUAUGCCAAGUGACAUCAUUCUCACAUCCUUUUGCUGCUACUAAUGAACUUGCUCCUUGUUGUGUUUGAACUGGAUUUCGAGGCCUCAGCAGAUAUAAUCCAUCUUCCUCUUUACCAAUCUCCUUCACUUUCCCAGUGAAGAGAUCCUGAAGGAUAAAGAAAUCAGGGAAAAAUACAACACAACAAUUCAACUCCCUAGUCAACUUAGACACUGAUAAGAGAUUAAAUUUAAAUUCUGGCACACAAAGUACAUCCUCAAUAACUUCACCUUCUGUUAGUUGAGAACUUCCUGAGUGUGUAAUAGUUGUUGAGUCACCUGUAGCUAUUUGAACUUUUCCUGGAUUCACUGUCGAACCACGAUUCAGUAGUGUUUUAGAACUAACCAUAUGAUUGGUUGCCCCACUAUCUACUAUCCAAUUGAAACAACAUCUAACAACAUCAUUACAAGAAGAAGUACCUGCAAAUAUACCUGCCAUAUUUGCACUAGACUCAUUUGUGUUGGAUUUAUUUAUCAUCUGCAAUAUUUGAUUGUACUGAUUUGGUGUGAAGUAAGGAACAGGUCCAUCUCCAUUACUUGCACCUCCAGGCCUCUGCAAUGCUUGCAUCUGUGGAGUAUGAUAACAAUUAUCUCUCAUGCCUUCAUCUUGAAGUCUAUGUGAUGUUUGUGCCAUGUUAACCCUUUUCUUCCCUUUCCAAUCUGGAGGAUAACCAAUCAACUGAAAACAAAUUUCCUUGGUGUGACCUUGCAUAUUACAGUGAGUGCAAUGUUUCAGUUUGUUACAAUCGUCCCUAGUGUGUCCUUUCAUAUCACAAUGAUUGCAAUAAGGACCAUGUCGUUGAACCUGUCCAUAACCUCUUCCUCCCCUACCUCUGGAACCUGGUCCUCCAAAGGUGUAACCACCAGAUUUACUAGUGAGUAAGGCAGUGGGAUCGAUGCUUUCCCCUCCUCCAUAACAAUCACCACUCAAUGAUCUUUGACUCUCAUCUUGCACAAUCAUAGCACAACACUGAUUCACACUAGGUGGUGGAUUCAUCAUAAGGAUCUGGCUUCUAGCCUGACCAUAACUAUCAUUUAAUCCCAUGAGGAAUUGCAGCAAUUGUUGCCUACCCAUACUAUCCACAUAUUCCUUCGAUUUUGUACAUUCACAGGAAGAAGAAGGCACUAUCGAUUCAAACUCAUCCCAUAGGUCUUUUAAUCUCGAGUAAUAUACAGAAACAGGGGAAGUACCUUGAGUGAGCGUGACGAUGGCUUUGUGAAGAUGAAAAACUCUAGACAUGUUCACCUUAUCAAAUUGUUCCUUCAGAUCGGACCAUACCAAGGCAAAUCAUAGCUAUGGAUUUCCUAUCUAAAGUUGUGGAAAAAUUCUCAAAUUUCAUGAUCAAUAAUGUUGGGUAGCUCAUUUACUACAAUAGAAACAUCAAAUCUCUGGAUAAAGAAUCUGAUAAACUGGAUAUAAUCAGAAAUGAGGUGAAGCAAGAAGCGGAGGCUGCCCGGAGAAACAUACAAGUCAUUUCUCCCAGUGUUGAGGCUUGGUUAACUAGUGUUGAUACCACUACUGCAGAUGUGGCUACUGUUAAACUGCUCAAGGAUCACACAUUCAGAGAUGAACUAUUGGGAAAACUGAUCUCUUCAUUCCAUAUCAAAAGAGUAUAAAACUCUGUACACAACUCCACAAUCAAAACUUACAAAACUACUCUAAGCUAAUGAAUACAUUGUAAUAUAUACACACACUAACUGACCUAAAUACAAUGGAAAAUAUCUUCUACUGCUAACAACCUUCUAACUAACUUUCACGUUAAAUCUAACGCCAAGUUAACUGACUAACGGUGACCACACAGCUGACUUGCUCCAGUAGUCUGUUCCAACUCAACUGUUUGCAAUCUCCUUAUUAUAUUCUCUAAUAGCAAUGACAUGGAGAGUGUGAAGUUCAAUAUUUUAGCAACGCCACUCUUCUGAUCAACUAUCACAUUGUGUGGCUUUAUAUUUCUGUGGAUGAUGGGCGUAGUAAAUUCAGUAUGCAAGAAAACUAUUGCAGAAGAAACCUCACAUGCAACUCGUAAUCGAUUUCCCCAAGAUAGCGAUUUACUAUUUUGAUCAUCACCAUUAUCCUUUUUGUAAAGUAGAUCGAAAAGAGAUAUAGCUUCAACAUAUUCAUACACCAUAACUGGUUGUUCAAAUUCUAGACAGCAACCGACAAGUCUCAACACAUUCUUCAGAUGACUCAUCUGAGCAGUAAUCACUAUAUCUCGGUGGAUAUUGUUGAAUGAAUAUGUACUGAACCUAACUAAAACGGGGCGGUUGUCUAGCGAUCCCGUAACCAUACACUCAUCGGCAGAGGCGAAUCUAGGAUUUUUCGAACAUGGGUGUACCAAGUAAAAUGUAUUGAAGUGGGAAUUGAUCCUUAAUCCUCAAGGUCAAAAGCUCAACAUUUAACCAUGUGGACCAUUUAGAUUUCUUGUAAUAUGGGUGCCAAAAUAUAAUAUUAUACAAAUCUUAGAAUAUAUAUAUAUAUAUAUAUAUAAAAUAUCUAAUUUUACAAAGAGACCACGGGUGCUGGUGCCCUAUUUUUUGGCUCUAAAUUCGCCACUGCUCAUCGGCAAGCUCCAUUAUUGUGGUUUUAGAGUGUCUAAUUGCAUUGUGGAUCUCUAUGGCAGUGUAGUAACGGCUGGGAAUUCUGCAAUUUCCGUCGCAUAAAGCAAGAAGCUCAUCAAGCACAAAACUUCCAUUCUUAAAUUAACAACCAUUCUAUGUGUUAUAUUCAAGAUGUUUUGAUGAUCUCCACAAAUGCAGGGACCCGGUCCCUAACAGAGUACUCUCGUCCAAAUUCAAAAUGGGGUACAACUAUAAAGCCGUCUUGUCAGGUUGGUUUGUGAGAAGUACAGUGUACUUCACCAAUAGGAAGCGUGGACGAGGUUGUUUGUUUUAGUGGUCAAAACUCUUGUUGAUGAAUGAUAUAUACAACAAUAAACAAACAACAUUAUUCAUUCAAGAGCCAGCAAGUCUUUUCAAGAACUCACAAAGAAAACACUGCAAGGGACCUGGUCCCGAAAAGACUGCGUAUGUGAAAAGUCAAACGACAGCUGUCUAAAAGCUGUAACAUCUGACAUGGUUGGUGCACAACUUUUCAGAACAGCAGGCUCUCAGCCAACGGUGUCUUCCCAAGGAGUUUGUGUCCUUUUGAUAUAGUCUCUUCUACAAAACACAAACUCAAGAUUUGACAAACAAAGAUUUGAAUUUCUGAAAUUCAUAAGCUUACAAAGAGAAGACCAUCUUCAAGGAAGAACACUGUUCAACUCAACAAAGGGACCUGAUAGAGUGUUGAAGAGUCUUUGUUGUAUUUUGAGCUUUGUAUCUUAUGUGCUUAAAUUGUAAAUAUACUCCUAAGUUAUAAAGGAUAGUAGUUCAGUGCCUGUCAAAGUAUUUAGUUUGAGUCGUAUUAACUAGAGUUAGUUAGUCGAAUCAUCUUGUUUUAGUCAAGCCUUUUUACAUCAUUGUUUUGAUGUUCUCUUGGGUAGAGUUGCCUAGGAGGGUCAAUUAGAGUUAGUUGAUGUGUGGUGCAACAAAGUUGCUGCUCGUUUAAGCUCUUGUAAUGGAGAUCGGAGUUGGUGGCUAGAGUUAGUCUUGGGGGUUCUUAAAGUCUAGAUCAACUAAAGUUAGUUGGUGUAGUGGGCAAUAGGAUUAUUGCUUUGGCUCGUUUAAGUAAUAGGAGUAUUACUUAAUGUGGGAUUAGGGUGUUAAUCUCUCACUGUUGUGGUUGUAAUCUAUGUUUCACUUUUGCUUGAGAAGAUUAGUGAAAACAAUUGGAAAAUCCUGUGUGGCAGGUCGUGGUUUUACUCCCUUGAGCAAGGAGAUUUUCACGUAAAAUUCUUGUGCCUGUUUUACAUUGUGCUAUUUACUUUCUGCACUUUAAUUCUGUAGAGGGACCUGAUCUGUGAUCACUGGUGGACGCAUACAUUCCAACACUCUGUCUUCUGCCUUUGCAGAGGAAAAAAGUUUUUUCUUUGCGAGUAGUAGUCCCUUGAAGAAAGACAUUAUUUGCUUGCUCUAAUUUAGAAUUGGGAUUAAACCCAAUAAGGCAUCCAUCACUAGCUAGUAGUUAACAAGUCGGAAGAAGCUUCCUUCUGGUCUUAAUUUGUGCAUUCAAUUCCAUACAAAUUGAGUUUCCAAGUACUUUCAUUGCAAUUGUUUAUCAAGUUCCAUUAUGCCCUAAUGUCGUUGUCCUAUCAAUUAAUAUUUGAUUUUUGGAUUUAGCUAAUGAAACACAAAACUUUAUGUGGUGUAUCAAGCCUCAGUUUUUUUUUUCCAUAACUGUUACGGCAAUUAAUAAUUUAUUUAUUCAUUGUAGUGACCGAACACACUAUUUCCUAUUUUGUUUUAAUUAAUAAACGUACAAUAACAUCAAUUAUAAUGACGUGAACCUGCAGGCCUUGCUCUUGUUAAUUCGAGAAUUCUAUGCUUUCCUAGCAAAGAAGAAAUUUAACAUAUCCAAAUGGCCGGCAAAUGACAAAUACAAAACUACGGAUAAAUUUCCUUGAAAUUGGAACCUAAUAUGAAUACCUCUAAAUAUUUAAUUUUGACCAAGAGAGAGGGCACAUAAACACUCUUCAAUUCGACAUAAUUCCCUUGAGACAUGAAUCAUAUAUGAUCUAUCAUCUCCCUUGUCAGCUAUGCAUUUCUUAACAAGAUCCAAGUAGUCUUCCAACUAUUGUUGAUCCAACAAAACACAUAUAAGUGGAUUGCCAUUUUGUUAGGGACAAACUUCAACAAGGAUUAAUUGCACUUCAUCAUAUUUCCACACAUUCACAUCAAGCAUACAUUUUUACCAAGGCCUUGACUGGAGUCCAGCAUUCAACAAUUCAAAGCAAGUUGUUUGUACUUAUUGCACCUCCUCCAACUUGAGGGGCGAUAGAAUUAGUGAGUAAAGUCAAGGUAGUUAAAGUGUUAGUGAAAAAUUACAAAAUUACAAAAUAACAAAAAUACAAAAUUACAAUUGAAAAUAAAACGAAGAAACAAUAAUCUCUUCAAGUUGAGGGACGGAUAUCUCGCUCUCUUUAAGGAGAUUCAAAUCCACUACAACAAAUGUUUUACACCGGUCCAAUAGUAGUCCUUCUUGACUUGUCCCCUCCAAGAUACAACAACCUAAUCACAAAAUAUAACUCAACAACUCUGGACAAGAGAUGAGUCCAAAACUCCACAAAAAGAACACCUCCCUUCAACUAAUAAGAACUCUCUUUUUUGACUAACUUUAUGCACUCUCUAUUUUCUUGUGUGUCUAAACCAAAUGAAGACCACCAUUAUUUAUAGAUGAGAUGUCUUUCUAGUAAUGAAUAGGAAGAUAAUGGGAUAGUAAAUAGAAAAGAUAAAUGGCCUAGAGGUUGCAUAGUUUACAAGGCAUAAUGGAGGAAGAAUAAUGAGAUUUCAAUAUGGAGGAGUAAUGGUCAUAGUUGCCCACUACUUGUUCUAACAGAAUAACACAACGGCCAACAAAAAAUAACCCAAGGUUCUAGCAAAAUUUAUCAACAUUGUAGAAUAACAACUAAGCCAAAAUUCAACGGACAAAAGUAAUGCACUAUGACGAGUAAUUAGCUAUCAUGCAUGACUUCUUACACGUAUGAUACCCAAGGAAUUGGAUAAGCCACUUCAACAUAAUUUUAAUAAGAAUAUUAAAAUGUUCCAAAACCAAUAUAAAGUAGUUAGAAUUGGGAAGUUAGUUAAGUUUGUUAGAAUUGUCAGACUAGUUUAACUAUCUAAUUUCCUUUCUUCUUCUUCUUCUCACUGAGUUAAUGAAGAACUCCAGCUUAUUUCAGCACUCUUGUUUCCAACUUUGUCAAACUAAAACAGGGCGGUUGUCCAGCAGCAAGCCCGUAACCGUAUACUCAUCGGCACGGUCCAAUAUUAUGGUUUUAGAGUGUUUUAUUGCAUUGUUGAUCACUAUGGCAGAGAAGUAACGGAUGGGAAUUCUGCAAUUUCCAUCGCAUGAAGCAAGAAGCUCCUCAAGCACCGCACUUCCAUUCUUUAAAUAACAAUCCUUCUCUUUCUUCCGCCUUACAGCAGAAGCAGAGGAAAAAAAUGUUUUUCCUUGUGAGUCCCUGAUGGGAAUCAUGCAAAUAGCAAUGAUAUCAAUUAUAAUGACGUGAAUCUGGCAUAACUCAUGUUAUUUUGAGAAUUCUAUGAUUUCUUAGCAAGAGUAGAUAUUUAACAUAUCCAAAUGGCAAAUGACAAAUACAGAACAACCGACAAAUUACAAGCAGUAGCACUGUCUGAAUUUAAUUUCUAAAAUUAAUUGAAUGACAAAUGGAAAACUAACACGGUCCAUAUUUCUUUCUAUAAACCGAAAAAUUAAGGAUGAAUCAAUCUGAAUAGAGCAAAAUAAAGAUCAAAUUGGCAAUUUCAUUAUCUGCAGAUAUCAUUUUUUGUUCAACAUAAAUAUGAUGGUACAAACAAACUAAAUUACCUUUAAAUUGGAAUCUAAUAUGAAUACGUUAAGAAAUUAAAAUAAACAUUUAACUUUGACCAAGAGUGUGGGCACAUAAACACUUUCCAAUUCGACCUAAUUCCCUUGCGACAUGAAUAAUGUAUGGUCUAUCAUCUCCCUUGUCAGCUGUGCAUUUCUUAACAAGAUCCAAGUAGUCUGUCAAUUGUUGUUGAAUCUCAAUUCCAUGCUCUUCUAAGAUAGUUGGAUCCGCAAUAUCCAUUACACUACUCUCUUUAAUAUAACGAUCGACAAAGUUGAUUGGAAGAUUUUUAGAAUCUAUUGUCUCUUCCAGAAUUACAGAAUCCAGUCUAUUCAUAUCACUACCCUCUUCUGUAUUGGAUAUAGGGUAUUCUUCAAAAUCUAUUCUCUCUUUUGAAUUUGUAAAAUCCACUCUUCUAGAAAUACUGUUCAUGUCCUUUCCGGUUAAUAGCUGAAAGAGAAGAAUCCCAAAGCUGUAGACAUCAGUUUUUUGAGUAAUAAUACCCUGCUGGAGAUAUUCGGGAGCUAUAUACCCACUUGUUCCACGCACAUCAUCUACUAACUCCAAUUCCCCUGGAGGCAAUGCUAUGGAGAGUGAGAAGUUCAAUAUUUUGGAAACCCCGCUGUACUGAUCUAUUAUUACAUUGUGAGGCUUUAUAUUUCUGUGGAUGAUGGGUGUAGUAAAUUCAGUAUGGAGGAAAACGAUUGUAGAAGCAACCUCACGUGCAACUCGUAAACGAUUUCCCCAAGAUGGGGAUUUUAUAUUUUGACUAUCCUUUUUGUAAAUUAGAUCGAAAAGAGAUAUAGCUUCAACAUAUUCAUACACCAGAACUGGUUCUUCAAAUUCUAGACAGCAACCGACAAGUCUCAGCACAUUCUUGAGAUGAUUCAUCUGAGCAGUAACUGCUAUAUCUCGGUGGAUAUUGUUUAAUGUACAUGUAUUGAACCUAACUAAAACAAGGCGGUUGUCUAGCGAUCCCAUAACCGUAGACCCCUUGGCAAGGUCCAUUUUUCUUUUAGAGUGUUUUAUUGCAUUGUCGAUCUCUAUGGCAGUAAAGUAACAGAUGGGAAUUUUGCAAUUUCCGUCGCAUAAAGCAAGAAACUCCUCAAGCACCAAACUUCCAUUAUUCAAAUAACAAUCCUUCUCUUUCUCCCGCCUUUCAGCAGAGGCAGAGGAAAAAAUAUUUUUUCCUCUGAAGAAAGGCAUCUCUAAUUUAGAAGUGACACAGUCUCCAUGAAUUAGGAUUAAAUACACAAUAAGGCAUCCAUCACUAUUAGUGUACUAGAUGGAAAUAUCUCGGACAAUAGAAAAUUAUACAAUAGAAAAGACCAUCUAAAGAGCUUUAUCUUUGCAUAAUCGCUAAAAUAGUGGAAAAAACUAUCACAGAAAAUUACACAUGUUUCCUGCUGGUCUCUUAAUUUGUGCAUCGACUUUCACACAAAUUGAGUUUCCAAGCACUUCCAUAGAAAAUUCCGUGAAUGCUCGAGGAUGGAAUGCAUGCAAGUGGAAAGGCGUCUGCCGACUGUCAUGUAAUGCCUUACAAGGCAUGGGGUCCAGCUCGUCUUAUAAGGUGUGAAUGUGAUCAUCAUCCUCACGCCCUACUUCGUAAGUUGACGUCUCCCGCAUGGCGUGCCCCACGCUUUUGUCCAAUUGAUUUCUUUUCCAUUACUCUUAUCCCUUUUCAAAUUUGGAUUAAAAAAAAUAAUACUAUUACCCUUUAAGCUCCGAAUUCGUUUCUUCUUUCGUUAUUCAGCUUCGUAAUUAUUUGCAUAUUAAAAUAUAUUUCGCAUUGUAACACAAUCUUUUUGUAUUUCUUGCGUUUACUAUUUUAAAAAUCAUAACUCACUGAAGGAAUUGAAAAGUAAAAAAGAUACUACUAAACUAUCCCUCUAUUUAUAUUUAGUUGUUACCAAUUUAGAUUUUCCACUCAUUAAAAAUUUAGGUAAAUUUAUUAUUGUAUCUCUAUUUAAUGUUCUCUUAAAAUUAAAAUUUCAAAAAAUAUGACAGUAAAUAUGUUUACCAGAAAUCUAAAUAACAUUAAUCCAUAUCAAAUCUUACGAUAAAAAAAUAAUCUUUUCAUAUUCUCUUAUAUUUCAUGAAGAGUAAAUUACAAAUGAAAUACAUGAUAAUUGAAAUGCAUUGAACUACUAAUUUAAAUUUUUGAGCUUGAAAUUGGAGUCAAAAUUUCAAUACGAAUUGAUUCAAAAAAUUUAGUUUGUUUGUUGUGAUUCCUUUUUGAAGAUCAUUUUUAUUUUAUUUCAAAAUUUACUCUCUACUUUUCACCAUGUAAAACACAACUCUUCGCUAAUAAAACACGGUGCUUCAAAAUAGGCAUACCUUACCACCAGCUCUGAAAAAACACAAUCCCUGUUACGGCACAUUAAAGUAUCUCAGCCUUUGACCAUAUAUCUCACAGUCUUCCGCAUUAGUGCAAUAAUGUCGUUAAUUAUGAUGGGCGUAGUGAUGGUAUCGAUUCUUAUAUCUCUUUGCUUAAUUAAACAACUAUACUAUGAUGUCAUCAUGCUUGCUCUUAAUAUGCUUUGGAGGGAGUGUAAGAAAUCUUUAAAUAAUGUUGUUGAACCAAGAUUAGCCUCUGGCUCACGAUUAGAUGAGGACGUUGGAGACUUGGAAGGGUGUUAGCUCUUCGACAGAACCAAGCCUUCCGCGGCUGAAGAAAGAAAAUCCUCAGUCCGGUGAUGGGCCAAGAAUUCCAUUUUUCUAUUUAGACAUUUAAUUGCCCAAAUUAGGCUCCGCAAGAUAUUCUUCUCAAUCUCCUUUUGAAUCUCCCUGUUCUUCAGACCAUUAUACAUUCAAUACUUCCACAAUGGUUGCUUAAAUCAUGUACAGAAAAUCAACAUAAAUUCAAGUAUCAAAUUUUAUGGAAAAUUUUAAGCAACAUGGAUAUGUUAUGUGCAGACUUGCACAGUUUGUAAGUUUUUUCAUAAUUUAAGAAUUUGGAUAUUAGAGUAGAUCAAUCAUAAUACUAAUGAAGUUAUUUAUGAUCACACUUAUUACCUAAUUAUAUAGUAUAAUUUAUUAUAAGGACGUUAACCUGGCCUAGUUCAUCUUAAUUCGAGAAUUCUAUGCUUUACUAGCAGAGAUGAAAUUUAACAUAACCUAAAAUGAUACAAUCUUGUAAACCAUUCUGAAUAUUCAUAUAUCAUAUCUUGUGAUUUAAUUAAAGCAAUUGAUUACCUCACUUCUUAAUUAAGCACUGAAGGAGAAAUCAAUCCGAAUAGAGCAAAAGAAAGAUCAAAUUGACAAUUUCAUUAAAUGUUUGGAACCUCUAAACAUUUAAUUUUGACCAAGAGCGAAAACACUUUUCAAUUCGACACAAUUCCCUUGCGACAUGAAUCAUGUAUGGUCUAUCAUCUCCCUUGUCAGCUGUGCAUUUCCUAGCAAGGUCCAAGUAGUCUUUCAAUUGUUGUUGAAUCUCAAUUCCAUGUUCUUCUAAAAUGGUAGCAUCCACUAUAUCUAGUACAUUAUCCUCUUUAAUAUAACGAUCGACGAGGUUGGUUGCAUUUUUCACUCUAUCUAUAUAAUUUAAUGUCGGUAUUGAAUAUGUACCUUUUACAAUUAUCAUAAUAUCGUACACGUCCACUCCAGUUAAUAUCUGAAUGAGGAGAAUCCCAAAGCUGUAGACAUCAGUUUUUUGAGUAAUAAUUAACUGGUGCUUAUAUUCUGGAGCUAUAUACCCCUCUGUUCCACACACACCAUCAUCUCGUACCUCCAAUUCCCCUGGAGGUAAUGAUAUGGAGAGUGAGAAGUUCAAUAUUUUGGCAACGCCGCUCUUCUCAUCUAUUAUCACAUUAGAUGGCUUUAUAUCUCUGUGGAUGAUAGGCGUAGUAAAUUCAGUAUGAAGGAAAACGAUUGCAGAAGCGACAUCACGUGCAACUCGUAAUCUAUUUCCCCAACAUAGCGAUUUUCUAUUAAGAUUAACCUUUUUGAAAAGUAGAACGAAAAGAGAUAUACCUUCAACAUAUUCAUACACCAUAACUGGUUGUUCAAAUUCUAGACAGCAACUGAUAAGUCUCAACACAUUCUUGAGAUGACUCAUCUGAGCAGUAAUCGCUAUAUCUCGGUGGAUAUUGAAGAAUUUAUAUCUGUUGAACCUAACUAAAAUGGGGCGGUUGUCUAGGGAGCCCGUAACCAAAACCACACCGCGGAGCUCCAUUUUGGUUGUAGAGUGUUUAAUUGCAUAAUCGAUCUCUAUGGUACUGAAGUACCGAAUGGGAAUUCUGCAAUUUCCAUCGCAUAAAGCAAGAAGCUCCUGAAGCACAGAACUUCCAUUCUUUAAAUAACAAUCCUUCUCUUUCUUCCACCUUACUGCAGAGGCAGAGGAAAUAAGUUUUUUCCUUGUGAGUCCCCUGAAGAAAGGCAUGCUCUAAUUUAGAAGUGACUGACUAGUCUCCAUGAAUUGGGAUUAGUAGUGUAAUCUAUGAAAAAGUCGGAAGCUGCUUCCUGUUGGUCUUAAUUUAUCAUUUGUGCAUUGAAUUCCACACUAAUUGAGUUUCCAACCACUUCCACUGAAAAUUUGACACUUACGCGUGCAUUAAGUUUCACACAAAAUGACAACAAAUGGAGUUUCCAAGCACUUUCAUUUCAUCAAGUUCCAUUUCGACACCUGUCCUGUUUGAUAUUGCUGUUAGUUGAUCAAAAGUAUAUUAGAAAUAAAGGUAACAAUAAUAUAUUUUAAAGGAUUAAAAAAAAAACUAGAAAAAGUAAUAAAUAAAGAUUUCAGCCCUUUCAAAAAAAAAGUAACAAAUACUCUCUCCCUCCCUCAUUACUUCUCCAUUUUUCAAUUUUUAGUUGUCUUUAAUUACUUGUCCAUUUUAUAAAAUCAAGAAAGAAUAAUUUUUUUUACAUAUUAUACCCUUAAUUAAUUAUUUCGAAAAACAUAGAAAUUCUUGAAAAUCUUAAAUGUUUAAUUCAUCUACUUCAUAAUUAAAUAGAGGUAAAAUAGUAAACUCACUAUGUUAAUAAUUGUUUUCUUAAUAGGUAUGUCAAUUCAAAAGUGGACAAGUAAUUAGACACACAUGGAGUAACAAAUUUUUAUUUUCUUAAUAUACAUAUUGUUGACACCCAAUUUUGGACCUCCACAAUAUAGAUUAAUCAUCGAACUUAUUAAAUUCCAAACGAUUUGAAAUAAUUAGUUUUUAUAAAAUUUAAAAUAUUUUGCAAGUUGCUUUUAAUUAAUUUUAUCAUUUUUAUAAUUUUUAAAUAAUAUAUAUGUUUUAUAUAAUUUUGUAUAUAAUUAGUAUAUUUUAGAAACAUUUCCAAGAUCAUCUCAAAAAGAUUUUAUUCCUUACUUAAAUAUAUUUUUAAAUUUAGUUUAGUUCAAAUUACGAUUUUAGUUUUGGAUUAGAGUUUAUAAUUAAAUCAAUUAUUUCACUUUGUUAAGUUUAAGAAGUUCAUUAAUUAAUUUAUAUUAAUUCGUCUUAUCUAAUUUAUAGCCGAAUUUAUUAAAACUAAUUCAAUUUUGUUAGGUCUUUUAACUUUGUUUGGAAAUAACUGCAAUCCUCUAGCCCAUUUUCAAUUUCAGAAACCCAUUACCAAUUAUUAUUUUCCCAAAAGAACCCAGCAAAUACCAAGCACACCAAAAUUGACCCUGUACUGCUCUUCUUCCUCGCGAUAACAAACCUAGAAACUCGCGACCCAUCUGCAAAUCCAACGCAGCCCAGAAUCGCGAACCCGACCCAGCUCUCGCGUCCCUCUCCCUCUCUCCUCUCGACGUGCCCUCUCUGUACGAGAAGGUUCGCGAAUCGUAACAGGUGUCUCCAUCGUGCUGCUCGACCGUCCUUCUCUCAAAAUCGGACGACGCUCCUUUCAAUUCCGUUAGGAAUGCGUACUAUUUCUAGUUGUUCGACCUUAUCCUUAAGCAAAGAUUCAAAUUUUGAAUUUAAAAAUCAUCAAGUUUCCUUUUGUUUUCCCCCCAAAAAACAAGCCCUAAUUUCAGCUAUAAAUAUCCCUUUGUUCUUCAUUGCUCGAGGUUGGCAUUUUUCUUAACCAAGAUAUAGAGAAUAGUGUAAUAGAAUAGCUAAAAAAUACAAACGAAACACAUUUGAAAAGGAAGAGAAGAACUAGCUUCGGUCAGAGGAUUACUCUUCUAUUUUGUUUGCUACCGCUUCCCCACGUUUUUGUCCAAUUGAUUUCUUUUCCAUUACUGUUACCCCAUUUUAAAUGUGGAUUAAAAAAAAAAAAAUACUAUUACCCUUUAAGCUCCGAAUUCGUUUCUUCUUUCUUUAUUCAGCUUCGUAAUUAUUUGCUUAUUAAAAUAUAUGUCGCAUUGUAACACAAUCUUUUUGUAUUUUUUGCGUUUACUAUUUUCAAAUUCUAUUUUAAAAAUCAUAACUCACUGAAGGAAUUGAAAAGUAAAAAAGAUACUACUAAACUAUCCCUCUAUUUAUAUUUAGUUGUUACCAAUUUAGAUUUUCCACUCAUUAAAAAUUUAGGUAAAUUUAUUAUUGUAUCUCUAUUUAAUGUUCUCUUAAAAUUAAAAUUUCAAAAAAUAUGACAGUAAAUAUGUUUACCAGAAAUCUAAAUAACAUUAAUCCAUAUCAAAUCUUACGAUAAAAAAAUAAUCUUUUCAUAUUCUCUUAUAUUUCAUGAAGAGUAAAUUACAAAUGAAAUACAUGAUAAUUGAAAUGCAUUGAACUACUAAUUUAAAUUUUUGAGCUUGAAAUUGGAGUCAAAAUUUCAAUACGAAUUGAUUCAAAAAAUUUAGUUUGUUUGUUGUGAUUCCUUUUUGAAGAUCAUUUUUAUUUUAUUUCAAAAUUUACUCUCUACUUUUCACCAUGUAAAACACAACUCUUCGCUAAUAAAACACGGUGCUUCAAAAUAGGCAUACCUUACCACCAGCUCUGAAAAAACACAAUCCCUGUUACGGCACAUUAAAGUAUCUCAGCCUUUGACCAUAUAUCUCACAGUCUUCCGCAUUAGUGCAAUUAAUGUCGUUAAUUAUGAUGGGCGUAGUGAUCUGGUGAAUUAUAUAUGAAUAUACCUUUUAAAUUGAUAUGAAAAGAUUUGCAGUUCAUAAGCUUUUGUUGUUGCCGGAACUAUGUGGUAUGGUUCNNNNNNNNNNNNNNNNNNNNNNNNNNNNNNNNNNNNNNNNNNNNNNNNNNNNNNNNNNNNNNNNNNNNNNNNNNNNNNNNNNNNNNNNNNNNNNNNNNNNAAAUGUACAAGAUGCACAUCCUUAUCUAAAAUUUUUUUUCCUUUAUGAACCUGAUCCCUCUAUUAGACUACAAUCAAUUAUGGCCAUAGUAAGUCUCUUUUAAUUGUCGCAAGUAUUUAAGUAGUUUUCUUGCUUAGGUGGUCGUAUCCUUUCGAAAGGGGUCGUUACACCUUUCUCUAUCAACAUUAGCUUGUACCUUGAGGAUUUUUAUGAAUUCAUGGAUCUCCGUUUAUCAUUGAUCACAUCUCCAUUGAUUUUACCAUAUCCUUCGCUAAAAUUCAAUCGUACUCAUUACUAAACUCAAAACAAGAACCAAACACUUAUCGUCACAUUCGAGCUAAUGUCUGUACACUCAUUUCUCAAGUCCUUUCCAAUAGUUUUUAACCAAUCUUACGGACUUGUAACACUAUUACCAUAGCCACAACAAAACGAAUGAAAUCACGUGUCUCUGAACCCAAUUAUCUACCCCUCUAGAGAUAUCUCUUUAGCCUUUGCAAUCAAUUUAAAUAUUCUUGAUCUCGCCUCUCUGUAAAGGUUGUACUACAUUCUACUAUAUUUUCCUUCAUUAUAACUCUAGCUCUUUGACAUUCUAUUCCAGUGGUGUCCUACCAUCUCUUAUAAUUUCCAUACAACCACGUUACUCACUAAGUAUUAGAAAACCACGACCUUGGAUACUCGCAAAUCGUAAUUACUAUACAGAAAUUCACUUAACCAACAAUUUUAUUAUAUAGUUGCAUCCCGUCACAAUCCAUCACGAACUCUUAUUGACAUUACGCUCCGUCAACCUUGAAUAUCACUACAAAGUCAACCUUUUUCAUCAACACGACGUCUCAAACUCAGGUAAACUCAUCAAAUUCAAAGGACUAACCCAAUAUUCUUAUACGUACUUGUUACUAAUAUCUUCAAUUGCCUCCACCCAAGUAUACUCAAUGAGACUUUCUUUAUCCAUAAUCUUGUCAUUUUGAUAUUAAUCCACUCCCUUAUGGCUCAAGAUAAAAUCACCAGUCCUCAUACUACCCUCAUUCUUCUUAAUAACAAGCCAGGAACACCCCACGGGGAAGCACUAGGACAGAUGAAACCUUAUCAAGAAGCUCUUGGAUUAGAGCCUUAAGCUCUCUUAAUUCUGCUGGAGCCAUAUGAUAUGGAGGGAUGGAAAUAAGGCGAGUGUCAGUUUCCAAGUCAAUGCAGAAAUCUAUAUCUCUAUCCGGAGGCAUACUAGGCAGAUCCGUAUGAAACACUUUAUUUAACUCAGACACCACAAGAACAGACUCAAUAGAGGGAGACUCAACCUCAACAUACCAAACAUGAGCCAAAUAAGCCAAACAACCUUGCCCUACCUGUUUCCUAGCCCAAAUGAAGGAUAUGAUUUUAGCUAGCUUAGCCUUGUACACCCCUUCCCACUCUAAUUUUUCCCUAACGGGGAUCUCUAGAGUUACCGACUUAGUAUUACAAUCAAUCCCGGUAUAAUAGGGGGGAAACCAAGUCAUGCCUAAGAUUAUAUCAAGUCAGUCAUAUCCAGCAUAACCAAAUCAACCCAAGUCUGAAAAUCCCUAAACACAACAGGACAAAUACGAUAUACAAGGGUGACUGUGACUGAUUCUUCAACUGGGUAGAAACAUGGAUGGAGGUAUCAAGUAUAUCACAAACCACAUCAAAUCCUAAGGUAAUUGAACUAACACGUACGAAUAAGUAGAGCCUAGAUUACACAAACAAUAGCCAUCUAGGCACAAACCACUGCAUCACACCCUCAAACUCGAUCUUACCCGAAAAAACAUAAAAUUGAGUCAUGUCCUAUUGACAGGCAACCUCCUUGUUUGGUUGCACUACUCAUCUACCGCAUUACCAUUUCCCCGCCCUCCAUAGCCUUUCUUAUUUCCUCCUCAUAUGCCUAGGUUCUCCACAAUUUUAACACACUUUAUAACUUAUAUUCGAUUGCUGAACACUAAAUUAGAUAGCGGGGGUUAGUUUGGGUACCAUUUGGGGUCCAUAAUUGUGACUAGGGGAAAACUGGGGAAACAGGGUUGAGAUUUGUCUCGCCCUGUUCCACUCUGGCGGGAGAAAUUCCUGACUGGCGGUCUCGCGCUGGCGAGAUUAUCCAGCCCCAGCGACUUCGACGGAAACAUAAUCUCUGCCAAUAAUUUUUCUGGGGGUUCUUUUCUUUCCCAAUUUCCCUCAAAGGUUCCUAGCUAUAACACAUGCAUUUUUUGAGUUUUCAAUCCCCUUAGCUAGGAUAAUCGUUGUCUACCCCGAGUCAACCCACGAAACACGCUCCCAAAACCCUUUACGUUACUUCAACACUACAACAUCCACAUCCCCAAAAUAUACCUAGACUCUCACACGGUUAUCAGUUGGUCGCAACGCAUGUCCAGAUUUCUCACUUACGAACCACAUCGUAAUUUAUCUAGACCCUUGCACGUAAUCUCGUGAAGACUUUCUUUUCACAACAAAUUUCACGACACUCAAGCAGUUACAACUUGCAGAUAAGUCCAAAUUCUUUAAUUAGUUCAUUACAUAGAUGACCAUUACUGAUCAUCUAUGCCUUAUACAGCCCCUAAGGCCAGAUACCAAUUGGAACCUUCUCAGUUCCAAUUAACUUGCUUGUGUCCCUUCAGUCGGGACUACGACAUUUAGUUCACUUCGUUGAGAUACCUAUUAGAAUCGGGAGAUCCCUAUUGGAAUCGGGAGAUACCAAUUGGACUCAACUCAUACCACAAGUGACAAUAGUAGCUAGUGAGCCCCAUAAAACUGCUAAUUUCAAUCAUAGAACUUGGUCGAACCCAAUUCUUAAUCGCCUUAACCCUUAACUGAUGGUAACCAGACCUUAAAUCAAUCUUAGAGAAAAUCGAUGCACCUUGCAAUUGGUCAAAAAGGUCAUCUAUCUAGGCAAUGGAUACUUGUUCUGAAUGGUGACCUUAUUCAACUGUUGAUAGUCUAUACACAUCCUCUCUUGCUAGCGAUGGUGUUACCGAUGUUGUUGAUCUAGCUCGGACCAUAGAGUGAAGGAGGAAAUAUACCAAUUUGUAUCACCCAGAUACCAAUUGGAUUCAAGUCAUAGCACGAAGGAGUAGAAAUAAGUGAGUUUUUCCUAAAGUCAUUGUCUCUACUAGACUCGUUUUGGUACAAUGAGAUCAACGAACCUAGGGCUCUGAUACCAACUUUGUCAUGACCCAGACCAUCAUGAUUGGCACCCACACUAACCCUCCGGUGGGGGAACCAUUACUAUAACCCAAAUCUAACAACUUAACCAAAUACUAUGCAAUUAAAGAUACGAAAGCAGGUUUAAAUAAUAAUAAAAAUGAAGUCCCCAUAAACUCCAAAGGUUUAAUCAAUUAACUAACCAAACUAAUGCGAAAAUUCAACUCCUAGAACCUGAAAGUCAUUAUACCAAAACUCUACUAACGACAAGUCUAAGAACAAGGGGUACAACCCCGAAACUAAACAACACCUUAAACAAAUAAUCUGAGUACCGAAAGAGUGGACUUAAACAAGAAAGAUCCAUGAUAGCCUGAAAGAAUUGUCUCACCCUUGAAUCCGGUCACGCUCAAUAGUCAUCUAGCUGAGGUUUAUCAAUUGCCACCUGGAGAUGCCCUCUACUCAACAAAGAACAAGCAAGUGCAGUAUCAGUACACAACCACAGUGUACUGGUAAGAUCACGUGGCUAUCCCAAAGGUGAAAUAUACAUGCAAGUAACCACAACAUUAUAAAACAGGCAUAUACCAAACAGAUACAAUAUUAGUCAUUUUUUCAGGAUCAAUGUAGCAUCACACGUUCUCAAUAAUACACAUUGAUUAUCAAUUUAGAGCAACAUACAGUCUUCUAAUAUCAAUCAUAAUUACAUAUGAACGUAAUCAUCACAAGUAGAUACACAACACAAAUCAAUGGUCAUCUCAUGGAACCCAUACCCAAACUGUUAGCAUACCAAAACGUGGUACCCAAUCCAGUGUUUAUGCCGGAACGUGGCAACCAAUCCUAUGUUUAUGCCGAAACGUGGCAACCGAUCCAUGUCAGUGUGUCGAAACGCAACACUCGAUCCAUUCAACAAACUACAAUCACAAUCACAAUGUAUAUUCUCACAAUCAUACAACAAGAGGUGAUUCAUGACAUACAAUUAUUCAAUUAUCCUCAUUUACGAUUAGGGGGAUCAAUAAUGCAACAUUCACAUACUUACAUGCAUUAUAAUGAGUAAUUACAAACAUAUAUCACACCAACAUGAAAUCACAAUCAUCACCUACCUCGAAUCCAAGCUUGAAUCCCCUAAGGCACUUGAAUCUUCCCUUUUCAGAUUUUUCCCCUUUGUUCAUGGUCUAAAAACAUACAAUUAACGCAAGGAUCAAUAAACGAGGCCUAAUUACCCGGAUUAUUGUUUUAUUAGGAAAAUAUAUUUUGGACUAAGUUUAGAGUCACCACUUAAUUUUUAAAGGGAAAUUAAGAAAACUAGUUUUUCAAUAGAUUAAAACAGGGAAUCAAUUGAAAAUACUUAAGGGGGGUUCGAGGGUUCAUAUUAGUGUUCUAGGAAGGGUUUUAAAGCACCUAGAACAUCCGCUAAUGCGGUUAUCCGACAAUUAAUUAUUUGUCUAAAAUUAUUUAACUUAGCUCGAAUUGCAAAACUAAACUAUGUUAUGGUUAGGACCAUUUUAAAGGAGAAACAGAAAAAUGUCGCCAUAUUAUUUAAAUGAAGUAUUUUAUGAACUUACGUAUUUAUUUAUUUAUUUAUUUUUAGUUGAGUAAGAAACGAAUGAUUUGAUUAAUUCAAAAUCAGUGUCUUUUGGGGAUUUGAAUUUUCAACCUUAAGGUUAGUGGAAAAUAUUAACGAGCACAUAAACACAACAAAGAGGGGAGGGAAAGAGAUUUGGGCCUAAAUUUGAAUUUUCUGUCCGCCUGAGCCAUUAUUUGGGCCCACUUUCGUUUUGGGAUUUCGGCCCAUUUGAGUCACCUGCACCUGUCCUAGCUAACAUGAAAUAAAUAUCUUUCUUUUGGACCUUAAGCCCAAUUUCUCCACCUGUCCUAGGAACUAACAAGUAAUAGUAAGUAAAAUGACAAGGGCUUCGGCCCAAUAAUAACAAAAUACAAUUCCGAAUAAAUAAAGGUAGGCUUUGGCCCAAUCUUUUUCAACUCCUGAUUUGCUCCGCUUUUCUUUCAAUUUCGAGACCUGUUCGUCGAUUUUAAUAUAUGGCUGACUCGGAUAAAAGGGGAUAUGGGCCUCCGUGGCCCAAAGGAAAAUGCGAGGAUAGAAUUCGUGAGGACUCGGACAAAUUUCACAUGCAAACACGAAAAUGAGAAUCAGUAAGUAAGAGUUAUGAAUAAUAUAAGAAAAUUUAUUAUAUUCUAAUAUUUAUUACACUACUAUAUUCUAAUAUUUAUUACACUACUAUAUUCUAAAAUUUAUUAUACUACCAUAUUCUAAAAUCUAUAUACUACCGUAUUCUAAGAUUUACAUACUACCAUAUUUUAUUAUUUAUAUACUACUCUAUUCUGAAUUUAUAUACUACCGUAUUAUAAUAUUAGCACGGUAGAGGAUGAUGUAUGUCACCAAGGGUCUUAGGUCCAUACACAAGUGACAUUUUAACGUCUUUAACCUACUAAGAGCUAUGGCUUAAAUUGAGCAAUCUUAAAAUUCCAGUAAUAAUUAAAUCAGUAUCUUAUUUAGAGUUUCCAAACUACGGUGACUAGACUAUAAUCCACUGGUGAUCACACGCUUUGGACAAUCAGUCAUGCAAAAUAGUGAGGCAAUGAUAAGCAUCAACGAGCAAACAUAUUCUAGCAGGGAUGAGUAACAGAGGGCAAGUGGGUCAAGACAUGCUCUUUUUUUUCAUAAGAAUCGAUAUGGCCAAGUCUUUGAUGUAAAGAAACAAACGAGUAAACAAAUAUUAAUUUGACUAAAUGACAAGCAUAAAUAAACUAAUAUUUUCCCCUCUCUUUAAACCAACAAUGACUCCAAACAAAAUAGAAAAAUACGUAUCAUAAUAUCAUACGAUUAAACAAAGUUUGACUAAAUGACAAACAUAAAUAAACUAAUAUUUUCCCCUCUCUUUAAACCAACAAUGAAUCCAAACAAAAUAGAAAAAUACGUAUCAUUAUAUCAUACGAUUAAACAAAGUAAGAGAAGGCCCAUGUGAUCCUAGAAUGAAGUCAAAAAUUUACACAUGCUCAAAUCUACAAAAUAGUAUGAUUAAAGCAAUACGUAAAUGACAUAGAUAAACGAAGGGACUUCAACAUUUUUACAGCUUCAAGUAGAGAAAUGGGGGGAAGAAAUAGCGUGCUUCAACAAUACGAUCAAAUUACAAAAAACAACUAGCUGGAACAAAUUGAAACAAAUUGUCUAAUCCAAACACUCUAAAUCCACACUUUUGAGACAAAAUAGACAAACUUUAUACCCAAAAUGGACCACAGUAAGCGACACCUUAAUGUAAAUCUGGAAAAUUAAAUAAACACACACGAAGCAAGGAAUUUGCCAAGGAUAUUUCAAAGAACAAGAUCAUUUCGUCUAAAAAAAAAUCCAUCAAAUAAUGCCACUGGUUAGGUCAAAUGUGCUAACAUGCUAACAAAAUUUAUUUUAUUUAAAAAGGAAACUGAAUAGAGCUAUAGAUGGCUUCUUAUGAAAUGAAAAUAAUGACUAAACACAUUGAUAAUCAAGAGUUCAACUUAUCUAUAUGUUUGUUUCUACAGAAACUAUCAACUUAUAUUACCAAUUCACACGUAUACAGUACUCUUUGGUUAUUUUUAAUGUCGAGUCAACAGAUUCACGACUAUAUAAAACUAGAAAAAUAAAUAAACUAAAACGGAAAUUGCAAGCCAAUAGCAUAUUCAAUAAAUCGGAUAUAUAACGAGGCAUGCUUCUCGUAGCAACAAUCAUAACAGAACAACAUGCUAGAUUGAAGAUAGCAUUAUAAGGGAGCUACGCCAACAAAAAAAAAAGAUCCUAAAAGAAACAGCCUUUAAGCAGAGUAACCAGACUAGGAAUUGAAAUGAAUGAGGGCUAGAAAGGAUUUUUACCUUCUUUGGAGCAGCGAUCCGAGACGGAAGCGAGCAGGAAGCCGACUUUCGCCACAAAAGAAACUUGACUAUGAGCAGCGAAACAGAGACCCACGUAAAAUCGAUAUCAAAUCCCGACUCCGAUUGAAAUUUGGAGGGAGUGCCGGCAACGAAAGGGAACAAAGGAACUGGUAGUAUAUUUAGUACGUAUGUUGAAUACUUUUGCUCAAAGUGUUCUGUAUGUUUGCUCAAAAAAGAACUUCUACUAUUUUCUCCCACUUUCUCCCAGAAAAAAUCCCCCCCAAUACUGAAACGAAAAGGAAUAUAUAGAAGGGGAUUAGGGUUGACGAAUUGGGGGGGAGGGGGGGAAACGGGCGAAUCUGAAUUCGAGGCCCAUUUCGAAUUCAAAACUCCCAAUUCUUUCACCAUUUUAGGGGAACACCUUUUUCUGAAACUUCAACCCUAUUCCGGAAGAGGAAAGGGAGACGGACGGACUUGAUCGACCUCCUCUCGUCCUUGAGUGCCGACGUGGAGUGAUCUCGCUGCUAUGAGGACAAAGGACGCGGCUGCUGCAGGUGCCUUUUGCUGCUGUUGCAGUGAGGAACGAAGACCGUGAAAUUUUUGUUGUUUGGAAUUUGAUGUUAACGUUUCUGGAAAUCUGGGUUCUUUUGUGAAGGAGAAAUGGAUCUGGGCCGGGUUGGGGAGAAAAGAGUGGGCCGGCUGGAGAUAAAAAUGGGCUAGAGAGGUUUUGGGCUGAAUGGAGAAAAGAGAAAAAUUGAAAUGGGUUGCUGGAGUCUUUUGUACUAAACAAAUGGCCCCAUUUUGGGUCUUAAAGAAUUGAGAACCAAGAUAGGAGAUGGCCAAAUUUGCAACUAUAAUUGUAACCGAAUUCAAAUUAAAAUUAGCUAAAUUGUAUUAAAUUGGCGAACUCGGCUAGCAUUGCAGUGGUAAAGUAGCCACGUAGGUUUCAAACUUAGGCAAUUUAAAUUUAAGACUUAGCCAACUUGAUCAAAUUUAAUAAAUUUGGCUAAUAAUUAAAUAAAACGAUCCAAUAUUAAUUAAUUAGCGAGCUUCUUAAUCUUAAUGAAAUAAAAUAAUUAAUUUAAUUAUAAACUAAUUAAUUAACUCAAAAUUGUAAACUAUUAGAUAACUAAUAAAACUAACCAAAUAUUUAAUUAAACAAAAUCUUUUUGAGACUAUUUUCUAAUAUUUAUAAAAUACACUAAUUAUAUACAUAAUUAUAUAAAAGAUAUAUUAUUAUUUAAAAGUUAUAACAAGUGACAAACUAUUUGAAAUAACUUGCAAACUAUUCUUUUAUAUAUAUUUUUUUCGAAAUUUCUAAAAUUAAUCACUUUGAAUCAUUUGAAAAUUAAGAAGCUCGAGAUUAAUUAUUAUCGGGGAGGGUCAAAAUUAGGUGUCAACAACUAUAAUCAAUAUUAUCAACCCUAGGCUAACCCAAGAUCCCAAUACCUAAAUUAGGGCUUUUUCCACCAUUAAUUUCAGAUCAAAAUCUUUCCCCAAUGAUAGUUACCCAAGAAACUAUGUUCUACGGAUCGAAAAACUAAUUUGGAGAGUUAAAACCUUACCUUUAGCCUCAAGAAUGGUGAAAAACGGUCAAGAACUUGUUUGGGGUCGUUCCUUAGCUCUUAAAGUCGAAAUGUGCAGAAUAAAGACUUUUUGGGGUUUAUUUACGACCUUAAGUCGCGUCGGACCCGCCAUAUCAUUCCUCAACCCGCUAUAACAACCCCGCCCUGGCGGCACAAAUCCGACCCCAUCGGCUUGCACGGAACCAGUGAGCUAUUUUAAUAACUCCAAGACCCCCAUUUCACAACACACCUUUAACCAACGACGCUUAGAAAAUACCGUUCACGCUAAGAUCGAUUCCGGGAGUUUUACUCACCCGAAUUCAAUUUCAUAAAGUCUUACGAAUUCCUUAACGACUUAUUUAACUACUCAUGUAAUCAAAAUCAUAAUUAGAUCUCUCAUUUGUUACCAGAUUUCCCUAGACCUCACUGACUCCGAUUUCGUCCCAAUCUGGACUAAGCUAGGAAAUCUCAAGCUCCUACAAAAAAGUUUUCUGGUCCCAAUUCUUUCUCCAUUGGCUUUUGUCUAAUGACAAAAUCAGGUCGUUACAAUCGGGGAGGGAGUAUUAUUUAUAUAUGUUAGGGAGUUGACUCAGUGCCUGGCUUUUGGUUAAAGCGAAUGAAACACAAACCUCCAAUUUCAUCUUUUACUAUAUAUUUUCUGAUCGCAACAUUUGUUUCUUAAUAUUAUUGGCCUUUUAAUGAUCUAUAGUGAAAUAAUCAAGCACCACUUUCUUUAUUUUCGUACAUAGAAAAAGUAUCGAGUGUUUUGUUUCAUUUUACACUAUACUCAUGGUCAAAUGUUAAUUAAAGAUUUAUUUGUGGAGAUCAAAGAUUUCUCGAAGCACCUUUGGCGUGACUCAAAUUGUUUGACUUGGCAAUUCCAUAAUGGAGGUCUCAAAUUUGAAACGCCUGCAACAAUAUGUUGGCCUUUUGGGUCAAACUCAUCACACGAGUUUCCUAGUACGGUUUUACCUUUCAUAUGUGGUGUACAUGCUAUUGCACAAAAAGUGAGGGUUCUGAGUUGAUCCUGUUCCUACUCUGAGUGGGCAAAUCUCUUAAAGAAUCAUGCAAUUUAAGAUCAAUAUGAAAGUGGCUGAUUUCUUAUAAAGAAUCAGCUGGAAGAUUAGCCUCUUUGUAGGUAUGACUGAUUUCAAUAACCUUAGCUUGUUGAUGGAGAUUCCAUAUCUCCUCCAAGAUGCAGAACAGGUUCCAAGGAUAUUGGAGUCUAUUCUAAAUGGAAUUUUGAGGAUCCAUUGAAUUUCUAAGAGAGCAUGCAGCCUCAACCUCUGCAUGAUUGUUGGUGAUGGUACCUAUCCCCAAAGGUUUAGACAUGGCCUUAAUUAGAGAAAAUCACACCAGCCCCAAUGCUUCCCGGAUUAAAGAGAGCACUACCAUCAGUGUUGACCUUCACAAACUCAGCCUCUGUUCUAAACCAUUUUACCUAAAUGAUAUGCUUGGUAGAUUCUAUAUAUUUCGUUGUAACGAUGUUGCCACUUGUUGGACCAUUGAAUAGUAAGGGUAAGUUUUGUUAUGAAUAUCAUAGUUAAUAACAUAGAGAAUUCUAGCAAAAGAUGAUUUAUUAGUGCCAUAUUUGGUUGUACAUCUAUUCUUCCAAAGAUUCAACAAAUAGAAAUAGGCAUAGUAUGAAGGAUAAGCUUAUGGACAUCAUUAGAAUGUUUUUUAGCCACCAUUUCAUAAUUAGCAAUCUAAGAGAUGACUGGAUCUUCGAAUUCUAGAGAGCAACUAACAAGUCUCAACACAUUCUUGAGAUGACUCAUCUGAGCAGUAAUCGCUAAAUCUCGAUGGAUAUUAUUGAAUGAACAUGUAUUGAACCUAAUUAAAACACGGCGGUUGUCUAGCAAUCUCGUAACCAUAGACACAUUGGCAAGCUUCAUUUUGGUUUUAGGGUGUUUUAUUGCAUUGUCAAUCUCUAUGGCAGAGAAGUAACGGAUGUGAAUUCUGCAAUUUCCAUCGCAUAAAGAAAGAAGCUCCUCAAGCACCGAACUUCCAUUCAUUAAAUAAUAAUCAUGCUCUUUCUUCCGCCUUUCUGCAAAGGCAGAGGAAAAAAAAAAUUUGCUUGUGAACAAAGGCAUUUUUUGGUUGCUCUAAUUUUGAAGUGAUCCAUGAAUUGAGAUUAAGGGUGUGUUUGGUAUGAAGAAAAAUGUUUUCCUAGAAAAUGUUUUCUUGGAAAACAAGUUGAUUUUUGACUUAUUUUCUCAUGUUUGGUUGGUGAUUACAAAAUGUUUUUCGAAAAAGGUUUUUAGUGUUUGAUUUAUGAAUGAAAAAUAUUUUUGAGAAUAUCUUUUAUUUUUAUUAGAAUAUAAAAUAAUUUUUGAAAUUGAAAAUAUUUUUUAAAAACAAACUUAAAUUUAUUUAUUUUUUUGGGGGGGGGGNNNNNNNNNNNNNNNNNNNNNNNNNNNNNNNNNNNNNNNNNNNNNNNNNNNNNNNNNNNNNNNNNNNNNNNNNNNNNNNNNNNNNNNNNNNNNNNNNNNNNNNNNNNNNNNNNNNNNNNNNNNNNNNNNNNNNNNNNNNNNNNNNNNNNNNNNNNNNNNNNNNNNNNNNNNNNNNNNNNNNNNNNNNNNNNNNNNNNNNNNNNNNNNNNNNNNNNNNNNNNNNNNNNNNNNNNNNNNNNNNNNNNNNNNNNNNNNNNNNNNNNNNNNNNNNNNNNNNNNNNNNNNNNNNNNNNNNNNNNNNNNNNNNNNNNNNNNNNNNNNNNNNNNNNNNNNNNNNNNNNNNNNNNNNNNNNNNNNNNNNNNNNNNNNNNNNNNNNNNNNNNNNNNNNNNNNNNNNNNNNNNNNNNNNNNNNNNNNNNNNNNNNNNNNNNNAAAAAAAUAAAAAAUUGAAAUUAGAAAUAUCUUUUAAAAACAAUUUUUAAUAUUUUUUUUGGGAGGGGGUGGGGUAAAAAAUUGAAUUUAAAAACAAGCUUUAAAAUUAUUAUUUAAUUUUUUUGGAGGGGGGUUGCUUGGGGGGAGGUUUGAGGGUAGGGACAAAAUAAAUUGAUUUUUUCAACAAAAAAGUAAUUGGAAGAGAGUUUUGAAAAAUGUUUUCCAUAAGUUUUGAAGGGAAGUCAUUUUUCUUAAAUUUGAGGAAAAUGAGUUGAUUUGGAAAACAUUUUCCAAAACAUUUAACCCAACCAAACAUGAGAAAAUUGGAAAACCUUUUCUAUUUUCCUUCAUACCAAACACACCCUAGAUCCAAAAAGGCAUCACUAGUGAGAAUGAAUAAGCAAGUUGUGAGCCUCCUGCUGCUCUCUUACUUUGACGCGUCCAUUAUAUUCCACACAAAAUGACAAAAAAAGGAGUUUCCAAGCACUUUCAUUUCAUUGCGAUUGUUUAUCAAGUUCCAUUACGGCACCUUAAUUAAUUCAUAUUUUGGUUUAUGUUAAGGAGUUGACCUUUUUUUAUUAUUACCCCUCUAUUCUAUACUCCAUUAAGCUAAUUAGUGAGGUAAUGCAUUAAGAGAAAAUAUUCAAUGUCAUAAUUUAAACUAUAUUUUUCACUACUUUACUUUGUGAAAUCAUAAAUAUAACUUUGUAGUAAGUAGUACUUUCAUGUUACUAAUUACUUGUCCACUUUUGAAUUGAUACAUCUAUUAAGAAAAUAAUAAUUGACAUAGUAAAUUUACUAUUUUACCCCUAUUAAUUAUGAAGUGGGUGAAUCAAAUACUUGAGAUUUUCAAGAAAUUCUACCUUUUUCAAAAUAAAUAAUUGAGGGUAUAAUAGGUAAAAGAAAUUUGUCCUUUCUUAAUUUGUCAAAAUUGACAAAUAAAAAAGGAAAAUUUGACAAGUAAUUAGGAAUAGAGGGAGUACAAUUUAUUUCCUAGGAAAUAUCAAACUUCAUUAAAAAGAAAAGAGAAAUAUGGAAAAAUAUUCAACAUCCAUCUUAAACUUUGAACAAUGGAAAUCUUAGAAACUCAAUUGUUGACUAGGUACAUAAACUCCCACCUUUUUUGUGAGGAUUCGAUUCCCCACAUUAUUAUCCCCUUCUCAUUUUCCCUUCCGAUAUUAUCUAAAUCAUGGUUAGAAAUUUACUUUAGGAAUUAAAUCUUAGCAAUUUAAUUUAAUCUAUGUCAUAUGUCACUAAUACAAAUAGAAACUUGGGGAAAAUGGAGAGGACCCGGAUCCAAAAUAAAGUAACACUACUUCAAAAUGGGAUCCAAGUAGUCUUCCAAUUGUUGUUGAAUCUCAAUUCCAUGCUCUUCUAAGAUAGUUGGUGUCACAACCCGAUUUCUCAAGUCAUGAUGGCACCUACUAUAACCCAACAGCAGGUAAGCCAACCCGUAACCCGAAACAACAAGUAAUGGGUCUGAGGGUAGAAACUAAACAAGAGUAGGCAAAUAACAAUAUAAACAGGCGGAAGUAAACCAAAAACAUAUAUACAAAUAAAGAUCCCUCCCAGAACCUGGAAGUCACUAGUACAGAGCUACUAACAAAAUGAGUACAACUCCCAAAAGUGGACAACAGAGAUUGGACUGUCUCGAAAGGAAAAAGACAAGUCUAUAUAUACAGAUGGAGACUGAAAUAGUAAAAAAUGUCGUGUGCUCACCCCCGUCUCCUGAUCAGUCUGCUCCAAGCUCGAUCAACGUUGGCUACUAGUGCCUGGACAUGCAUCAUGAAACAGAUGCAGAGCAUAGAAUGAGUACCAAAACAACAGGUACCUAGUAGGCAUCAUAGGCCGACUAAACUUGAAAAGUAAAGGCAGUAUGAAAAGAAGGAAUACACAAAUCGAGGUCAAGAACAAAAAUCUAACUAACAAAGGAAUGCACACGAGUGUACAAAGAACUAAUUAAAGUAAUCUAUAAGCUAACUACACCUAACUGGACCCCAUAAGCCCAGAAGGUACACUCGUGUGCAAGUUAAAUAAAACCCGAACAGACCCCCAUAAGCCCGACGAGUACACAGAAUAACUAUAACUAAAGAGAAUUGCAUAUAAGAACCCAAGAACGAAGAACAUCGAACCAGAACCUCAACCCUAAUUAGUAGAAUCUGACAGUACGGAUGACCGGACCUCAAAUCGGAUGCUCACAAGAAGUACCCAAGUAACCAAUCACAAAUAACAAGUAUAAGAGGCUGGAACUCUAACUGGAUACUUUAUAUAAAUAUUUGGGCAAUAGAGGCCGGAACUCUAACUGAAUGCUCUAUAUAAGUAUCUGGGCAAUAGAGGUCGAAACUCUAACCGGAUGCUCUAUAUAAGUAUCUGGGCAAUAGAGGCCGGAACUCUAACCGGAUGCUCUAUAUAAGUAUCAUUGUAGUUGUUGAAAGAGUCCCAAUCGAUCUAUUCUCAUAAAUGUCCGUGGAUCGCCGUCCACACCUAGCCAAUCAAUGAAAGUCCUUGGAACCAAAUCGAAAAUCAAAUUCAAAUCGCGAAGCAGAACUAGUGUCGCUGACGUAACUUUUGAAGUUGUAACAUCGGGGAAGUAAGGAUAACUAUCAUCAGAGCAAACGUAUGGCCUAGCUAAGGCCCAAACUAUCAGGCUCAAGUCUGCUACACCAGUCUAUAGAGAUCUAAGUCGGCCGAGCGACAUCGGGACAAAACUAAGGCCUAUCGGAUCUGCAUCAUGUAUUUCUAAGGCAAGCCCUAGUCAAACCUAAACUAAGGCCCAAAUGCUUCAACAAAUAGUAAAUUAAGCAUGCAAGCACUCCACAUAGCGAGGAGGGUUAAUUAAUAAAACAAAUCAUGCUCACAGUUACCCGAUAGUUCUUGAAAUAGGCCGAAAACAUGAUUUCCAAACACCUAUGCAUGAUUCAAUCACUACCAACCCAAAUCCCAACUAAUCAACAUGCAUUCACACUCUCAAGCUCAAUCUAAGAGAGGGAAACCGUAGCCUACCUGUAAGCCGAUCACACGCGCUCCAAAAUCACUUCUUCGGAGCUUUCCCUUUCCAAAUGUCCUCGAAACGCUGCCCCGCUAUCAAAAAUAGAGUCACAACGUUAUUACGGUCGUUUAGACACCAAAAUCACAACAAACGGAGACGGACCAAUUUCGGGGUCAAAACGGGGAAAGUGGGACCCGCGCUGGAAAUUCCGGAAUUAACCUCAAAAGUGGGUCCUAACCAGUUCCCCCAGCUCAUGUCUCAAAAUGGGACACAAUUCGGGGCUCGGGAACAACACAAUAUCAACAUGCAACUAAAAUCCAAAUUUUCUCAAAAACUAGAAAUGGGACAGCAGUUGAAUCAGUAUAUUUACCAGAAACUGGAGGUCUACAUUGAAAUGCGACAACACCACGACGUUCUCCUCGAAAAACCACUCAAGAUAGCCUCAAAAAAUCACUGAAAUCGGACCUAGAAUGGCUGAGAAAACAAGUCUCAAAAUCUUCCAAAAUCAAGCUCACAAAAAGGUCAUGGCAGCAGGUGUUUUAUGAAAAUUACCUCAAACGGGGACCCCAAAUCACUAUCCAAGCUCACCAACGCGUUGUCCUCGAAAAAUCUCACAAUUUUGCCUUUAGAAUCGCCCAAAUCGGUUGAGAGAUGAGAGAGUUAUGAGGGUUUUGAAGUUUGGGAAAGUUGGCUGAUAUAUCUGCAAUUAUAGCAGAUAUUUUUGCAAUUUUCCAAAAACUAAAAACUCCGACGGGGUGCUCCGAACUCGUUCGGAACCCCGUGCACACGAACGAGAUAUGCAAACAUACCAAAUUCGAUAUUUCGGACUCAACGGCGCAGUCAAAAUUUCCAUCAAAGGUCAUCUCAAUAAAAAGUGGGUCCCACUUCCAAAUGCCCUUUUAAGUCAAAAACUACAAAAGAGCUCCGAAAAAUAUCGAAACCCUAGAGACACAAAAGAAAGGUCAAUCCAGACCAAACUUGACAUUUCGAAGCUAACCGCGCUGACGAAAUUUUCAUUCGAGCGCGUUUUCCAAGAAUGUUGACCAAAGUCAACCUUAAGCCAAAUUUCAAAGGCUAAAACGCCUAAUGAUCCAAACUCACAUCGAAGGCCUCGAUACUCGUUCCAACUAUGCUACUAGCCUAAUUUGGCUACUCCGGAGCAUAUGGAACCGUCAGAAUUCUAUUCUGAGGUCGUCUUCUUGAACUUUUGAUCGAAAAUGAUCGUUCAAGGUUCAUAAGCUCCAAAACACAAAAACUCGCACCAAAACCAAAGUAACGACCAGGUGACCGAACUGUCAGUCCCAGCAAGUCAUGACUUGGGGUCGCUAGAAUGCUUUAAACGACAUACAGAAGGCAAGACAUAGAAAUGACCUGGAGGGUCAUUACAGUUGGAUCCGCUAUAUGCAUUACAUUACCUUCUUUAAUAUUACCAUCCACAAAGUAACUGGUUGGAAGAUUUUUAUAAUCUUUUGAUUUUUUAGAAUUCACUCUACCCAUAGUAUCGUACACUGUUUUUCCUGUUAAUAGUAGAAAGAGAAGAACCCCAAAGUUGUAGACAUCAGUUUUUUGAGUAAUAAUAAACUGGUGGAUAUAUUCUGGAGCAUACCCAAGUGUUCCGAGUGCACCAUCAUCUAGUAACUCCAAUUUCCCUGGAGGCAAUGAUAUGGAGAGUGUGAAGUUCAAUAUUUUAGCAAUGCCACUCUUCUGAUCAACUAUCACAUUGUGUUGCUUUAUAUUUCUGUGGAUGAUGGGCGUAGUAAAUUCAGUAUGUAGGAAAACUAUUGCAGAAGCAACCUCACAUGCAACUCGUAAUCGAUUUCCCCAACAUAGUGAUUUACUAUUUUGAUCAUCACCAUUAUCCUUUUUGUAAAGUAAAUCGAAAAGAGAUAUAGCUUCAACAUAUUCAGACACCAUAACUGGUUCUUCAAAUUCUAGACAGCAACCGACAAGUCUCAACACAUUCUUCAGAUGACUCAUCUGAGCAGUAAUCGCUAUAUCUCGGUGGAUAUUGCUGAAUGAACAUGUAUUGAACCUAACUAAAACGGGGCGGUUGUCUAGCGAUCCUGUAACCGUAGACUCAUUGGCAAGCUCCAUUAUUGUGGUUUAAGAGUGUCUAAUUGCAUUCUGUAUCGCUAUGGCAGUGAAGUAACGGAUGGGAAUUCUGCAAUUUCCGUCGCAUAAAGCAAGAAGCUCCUCAAGUACGGCACUUCCAUUCUUUAAAUAACAAUCAUGCUCUUUCUUCCGCCUUUCAGCAGAGGCAGAGGAAAAAAGUUUUUUACUUGCGAGUAGUAGUCCCUUGAAGAAAGACAUUAUUUACUUGCUCUAAUUUAGAAGUGACUAGUAUCCAUGAAUUGGGAUUAACUCCAAUAAGGCAUAUCAGUAGUAGUUAACAAGUCGGAAGAAGAUUCCUGCUGGUCUUAAUUUGUGCAUUCAAUUCCAUACAAAUUGAGUUUCCAAGUACUUCCAUUGCAAUUGUUUAUCAAGUUCCAUUAUGCCCUAAUGUCGUUGUCCUAUCAAUUAAUAUUUGGUUUUUGGAUUUAGCUAAUGAAACACAAAAGUUUAUGCCUCCAGUUUUUUGUAGCAAAUAUUAGGGGCAGUAAAGUUAUCUU